AGUAUAGUAUUAAUAUUCAAGGUAAGAAAAUUUACAUUCCUAUACAUUCUGAGUUACAUAAAAGAAAACUAACAGUCAGGACUAAAAAUGUAGCGGGGCGGUAAAGAAACACAAUUUAGAAGCAGUAAUAAGUUCAGCAGCGUCAACAUCUUCCAACCAUUAUCAGCAGCAAUGCAGCAUCAGUACCUGCAGCAUUGGACAACCUUAAUAUCUCUUCUUUCUGCCAUUCACUUAGUAACCUACAGCCACUGUGUAUUUCUUCUUCCUUGUCACAGUACUAAAACCAAAUAUAUCACAAAGUUCAUCAUAUGGUAAUAUGAAGAUAAACCAAGCUAUUGGAACCGAUAUGGUGUUACGUCUCAGACAAUAUCAUAAGCUGACAUGGUUGUUGUUAGUUAACACCUAACAAUAAUGAAACUAAGAAUGAAGACCACUUUUCUGGCUGGGGAAGAAGAUGUUGUGACCUCCUCUUCUGAUACAGAAUCAAGAUUCGAAUCGGACUACUAAAUCAAUUAUUGUGGGCAAGUGGUACAAUUUAGUAAUGUAAAAACCGUGUGCCUCUGCUUGCUCAAUGGCGUGUAGUCUUCAAAAGACUCAUCGUCCUGUAAAGAUAGGUUCAAUCAUAGAAAAAUAAUGAAUAGCAAAUACUACUACAACAAUGAUUAUGUGAGAAAGAAUAGAUGUGUCGUUUCCUGAGUAAACGUGAUGCCUUCGGAGUUUGAGAAUACAGACCGGUCGAUGGACUAAGGAUAAAAAGGCCUAAUUGAAAUAGGUUGCCUAAAUUUGAGCAUCGGGCGUUGGAUACGAUAUGUGUUCCCUUAAGAAAAACCAAAAAAAUAUUCAGAAUCAAGGAUAAUUGCCUUGUCCUGCUCAUUGGAAUAAAUGGUUCUUUACUACAUCAUAACAACAUUAUACAGCAAUGAUCCACUAAAAUCUUCAAUUUGAAAAAUAAUGCUAAGCUUAUUAAUUGGUAAGUUUUGAGCCUAAAAUUUAAAGCAUUGGGGGAAUAACUAUUAUAUAAAUAAACUUCUGGAACUUGUAAUAGACUCUCACGCAUCAGGGAAAAAAAACUCUAACAAAUCAAAAUAUAUUAAAACAUUAUAAAUCAAUCAGGAAUGUACCUUUUUAGCAUUGACUACGUGCGAAUCCAUCUUCGAAGGACUGGCCCAAACGUUUCAAUUGUGGUAUUUGUCUUGGCUAUUUUUACAAUUUUACCAUCAAGUGCUCUUCCACUUGGCUGCUCAGUUAAGAAAAAUUCAUUAAGGGAAAAUGUUGUAAAUCCUUUGGCGGAAUUUUUUUCCUCUUACUCAGUGGAGGACAUGAAAUAUAGUUGUUACCUAAUGGAUUGAAACAAUCAACUACAAACAAAGCAAGAUAAAAGUUGUAAGUUCAUUUGAUAGCAUGCAACAUGUGUGUAUGCCUGAAGAAGAAACAAAACUAUUAACUGUGGCAUACCAGAAAUACCAUAGUAUCAAUCUGAGAGUUUAAAAAAAAUGAAAUUGGUAAUCAAUCCAACUUUCAAAAACAAAGAAAAAUAUAUGACAAAUAAAAGUAAUCCUACCAUUUUAUAUUUGUUGGACCUCCUUGGUGAGGGAAUGAUUGGAAAUUAAUAGGAGAGGGAAGAGAGACUAAAAGUCGCAGCUAAGUUUCAGAUGCCCUUUGAGGUCUCUUUCUUCGAGCUGACACCAAAUUCCAGUUUCGUGAUCCUAAAUCAUCAAAAAGCAAAACCUUAAUAAAUUUAAGAAAUUUCUCUUACCAAAAACUUCAUUAUAUUGCUAAGAAAGGGGGAAAAAAACCCUUACCAGAAUUACAGACGGAUGAUAUAUUGUAGUAGGUGAUAUUUUUCCAUCUCCAGAUGAUGAUGAUUUAUCCGUCAAAGGUGUCUCUGUUGCAUAAUCCUGCGAAAAAAAACAUAUGUUUACAACACAAACAAUGGAAAAUUCAAACACAUAUAAUCCUUUUAAAAAUCAAGAUGAGAUAUUUGGAAACCUAUGUUUGGACAUGAGAAGGAGAGUGAGAGAUUGAGAAAACGCAAAAAAAGAAAGAGAGAGAGACUCUGAAGUUGAAUAAUAGAAGACUGAAGUCGAUAAUGAAAUAGUUCCUUCUCGUUCUCUUCAAGCACGUUGUGGAAAGAAUCUUGUCACUGAUAGAGGUCGAAAAUCACUUCUUUCCUUCUGCCCACAUGUUCUUUAUGAUAAAGAUCGUCAAGAAAGCGGUGGAGUUGAUACCAAAUGACUUAUUUGAUUAUGUGGAUACAAAUCAACCUAAUACAAAUAAAUAAGUUGAUAUUUCAUUGACGUCCUCCAAAAAAAGAACAACAACAAUAGAAAGGCAUAUAAUUAACUUAAUCUAUUACCUUUGUAAAAAUAUCUGAUGAUCCUGCUGCCUGAUCCAAACCUGUAUCUGUAUGAUAGCACCUGCAAAUGGGUUCGGCAUGGAAAUCCAAUACGUAUACACAAAGAGCCAAUUAUUUUCCCGAGAUUUGUCAAAAAAAUAUUUUUCACAGAUAGAAUAUCACAUAUAUGUAGUGCUCUAAAAAUCGAAAACUAUACCAAAAAAAAUUUACGGUCCCAUUCCACAACAAUAACCAAUGAUGAAUCAUUCAAAAUGGUUAGAUAGUCAACAAUAACCCAUUAUAUGAAUAUGUAUGUUUCAUGCAUCAUAAAAAAUGAACGGCAAUAAAAUAUUCAUCUAAUCAAUCGGGAAACAGCAAACAACAUACCUUUUAAAGAAUUCAUUGCAGCAGGGAGAAGAAGUUGUGAAUACAAUGCUCAGUAAAACCCUAUAACUGAAAACCUGAUUUUUGGAAGAAAUCUUAUCUAAAAGCAAUAAAGCUUGAACUCCAACAUUGAAUUUUUUUACGUGAAUGUGGCAGAUGACAGUAUAUAUAACUAUGCAAAUAUUUAUUAACCUGAAGAAUAGUUAUUUAUCUUGUAAUCUGUAAUCAAACAAAAUUCAGUCUCAGCACUCAAUUUGAAGGACUCAUUCUCAUUUUAACUAAACCAAGGUUAACAUCUAGCAUUGAUACUGACCAAUUUAAAUGACUCCAGGUAAAAAGAAAUUUGCCGAAAAUCUGUUUUUACAAUUCACUGACUGGAAAUGCACUUUUAUAAGUUUAUAGAACUUGCUUUUUAGUCAGAAUUCAGAAUAAUGCAUAGGUCGGUAUCGGCACUCUAAAGUCUAAACACACAGAUUACAAAUCUUUAAUCGUUUGGGUUUGAUAAAAAAUGAAGUAAAUUAAAUAUUAUUUACGUGUAAAUAUUUCAAUGAUCAAGGCACAUGAUGGGGGGGGGGGAUAGGGUGCAAAAUCUCCAACCUUGUAGUUCCUUCAACUAAUUAUGCACAUAAUGUUAAAAAUCAAAACUUAUCAAAAAAAAAAUGCAAAUGCUAGAGGAAUGGCUUGACCCCUCGACUUUGUGGGUUAAAAGUCACAUGUUUCGACCAACCGAGCUACACCAGACAUUUAAAUAAAAUAUGGUGGAGAAUGGAAUAUUCUAAAUAAACAUGACAUUUUGAAAAACCAAUCCUUGCCAAUGUGUUGUGUGCUGUUGCAAGAGAUAAAGAAAGAAAAGUACUACAUAGGUAUAGGAAAAAAAAGGAAUCAGGAACAAAAAGUAAUAACAGGGCUCAAUAUGAUCACAAUGGCUUAACCUUAAAUGCAGGUAACAGAGAGCCACAGGGGAAGGUGUCUUGGAUACUUUAAAUCAAAGGCGGGUCAAAGUAAAUGUCGAUUAAGCAUUUUUGGACUGCUAAACCUAGGUAGGAGAAGUAACUAACAAUAUGGCAAAUUACUUCAUCCAUGAAUAGUUUAGAUUGCUUACAAAAAUAAGAAGACGCGCGUGCUCAAAAUCAUAGCAUGAGUCCACUACCGAAAACAACCUCGACAUACCUGCACGACAUGAACCUUAAAUGACCUAGAUGCGUAUGGAAGUGGACGGAGAAGAACCAAUAAUAGGUUGAACAUGCUCAAGCUGAUGACCAUGAUCAUUAAUGUUUAGCCCAUCAUCUCUUGUAGAUGCAUUUAUCUGAAAAAAUCAUUCGUUGCUCAAUUCUCAUAAUCAAGGUUAGACCCCAAAUGAACAAUUUAAUCAAUGAAAAAGUAUAUCCAUAAUCUACUUGGUAUUGUAAUAAGUCCACCAAUGAUAGAUACCCAUUUGGAGAUGAUGUCGAAAAAGAGACAGUUAAUUUGCAGCAUCAUCAUAAUCAUCUAUUAUAGAAGAAAAGUAUAACAGGUUUUUAUGUGGCUGGUUUCUUCAAAUCCAAUAGAAAAGGAGAUCACAAAUGUGGCCUGAAUGUACAUACCACAACUCGUCGCCGGAAUUGUCUAUGUAUGUCUACCUCCGUUUGUUGUUCCAUAAUAGUUAUAUCUGUACGAUAAAAUUUAGAAAUCAUUUAGCAAUGAGGAAGUAUAAAAAUAAAUGGUAGAUUUCACUGUGAAAAAUAAGAUUUGCUUCAUGCGAAGGGAAUACCCAUUGGCAGCUUGUAUAUAUCAUGCUAAAAAAACAUUACAAAUGAAGGUCUCUUAAAAAAGCUUAGAAUAUCAUGACCACAGAGAAAAUCAUUAUCCUAUUUGACAAUCAAAUUAGAUUAGUAUCUCAUACAAUAUGUAGCAGAUGACAACAAUUCAAUUUUGAACAAACUCCUGAACAUAGUAAUCACUUGUAAACUAAAUCUUUGUUCGCAUAUGAAUUUUAAAUCAUAUUAGUUUAUCUAUGUUACCUUUUAGUCAAUAUUUGUUUUGGUAGCUAAACACCCACAAAUGUUUGGCAAGUCUAUAGUGGGCAGACGUUGCUUCGUCAAUCACUCAAGCCAAAAGUUUGUAGCCUCUGGCAGCAGCUAUCUGAGCCUUAGCAAAUGCAACAGGAACUCAUAAUCAAUUCUCAUGACCUCACCUGUGCUACAUAUCUAAAGCCAAAGAUCACAGCCUUGAAACUACAAUGUCUUCGACAGGGACUUGGCAGACAUGACCAGGGAUGUAUACCUAGCCAAUGAAUGCUGAAAUGCCUUGGACAUAUAACUCACAUUAAAAUACCUUGCUAUGAGAAAAGUAUAUAAGGGGAAGGGCCAAAACAUGACCAAUAGGGCUUGAAUUGACCUUAAAGAGAGCAGGGGUACGAAAAGCUAUCUGUUGAUCAACUCGUCUUCAGUUCGUAGAAGCCAUUUCUUGUCAGUUGAGAUAAUAUUUUGCACCAAAAGGAAUUAAUGUGCAUCUAGCAACUCUUGUAGCUGGUUACAGACCUAUUAUCUACUUUCAUUCUUUUCCUCAUUGCUUUUAUACAAAACAUGUAUGCGAUCAGGGGUAGGGAGACAUAGUCACAUAGGACAUACCUCAAUUGCUCCCAGUCCAGUCCACUCCCUUUGUGCGUGCAGAUAUUUGCAAUAUUAAAUAAAAUGAUGGUGAGAUUUUAUAUCAAUAAUAAGGAAAUGUCCACGAUCAAGUUCAAUGGUCAAUAGUGUGGCAAGUAAUUACUAAAUCCUACUACAACAUGGUGUUUUUGUCUAUCCGAACAUUUUUCUCGUUCGUCUAUCACUAAUCAUAACUGGCUAAGCUUUUCAGUUUUGUCAAACCAUUAUUACCAAACUAAGGGCAAAUUUUUUGAAGAAGGACUUACUUUGAAAGAGAAAUACAAUAUCAAUAUUUUGAGGAAUUUGGAAAAUCAAAUAAAUUUGAAAGUGAACUCAUGAGAGAAGAAUAAUGGAGUAUAUAUAAUUAGCAGAACAAAACAAUAAAUAGCAAAUGACAAUGGAAUACUGACCUUGGAAAUUGUAAAUUGAAAACUCACACGACAAAGGGAAGCUCAUUUGAUGAUGAAACCACAGUAGUGAAAUAAUUGUAAAUGAGCAUUUACAAAUAAACGUAUCUCAUAGUAGAAGAAUAAAUGUAAAUAGCAAAUUACAAAUUACAAAUAAGCCUCACCUUGGGCAAAAGCAAAAUUGUCGAAUCCAAAGAGAAAUUGCAAAUACACAAUUGUUGGGUGUAAAAUCUGAGGAGAAAUUGCAAUUCGUUGGCCUAGGGAACGACGUUCAGAAGAAUUAAUACAAUGGAACGGAUCAGAAAUUAUCUGGGAAGAAGUUGCGACUGGGACCCUGAAUGAAGUAAUAAUACAGGAACAACAAAACAGAUGAUGCGGUCUAUCAAAACCGAAAACAACAUGGGGAAGGAAAACACUUACAACACAUAAUAAAAAAAGGGACAUCCCGCACAACACCUGAGGUAGAUGGAAUCGAAGUCGCAGAUGGAAACCGUAGAGGUUGCAAGCUGCUUAACCAAAACAAAAACCUGAAAUCCAAACCGGGGUGGGAAAAAACUGAGAAGGACUCAAAGUACAGAAGACAAACCUAGGAAGAUUCUGAAGGACAGCAGAUUCCGAACCAAGCGCAGAGGAAGCAAGAGGGGCAGCAACAACAGGGGGAACUCGGGAAAGAGCCUCCCUUGCUCUUCUAGCUGAGGACGUCGUAUAUAAACCAAAUAUGUGAAUGUAUGAUGCCGUGUGGAAACCAAAUAAUAUUAGCAAAACCAUGAGGUGCUCCCCGGAAGGGGGGAUUUGUGAAUCCAAUAAAGAAUAAUAUUCAAGACCAAAUCUAAAGGUUCUUGUAUAUAUAUCAUAUACCAAAUCUAAAGGUUCAUAUAUAUAGAUAAUGUAUAUAUACCAAAUCUAAAGGUUCAUUAAAAGGAAGACAGAAUCAUGUGAAACUAAACAUAUAUAAAAACAACCUAAAGGGCCAGAGAUCUUAAAGAUAAAUCUAAAGGCUCAUAUAUGCAUACCAUAUAUAAAUACAGGAACGAAUAAGUUGGGAAGAACCUGAGGUGAAUGCGAGGGACGCGGAAGAGACUGAGGAGCAACUGCAAUGAAAUCAAAAUAAAGGAACAAUUGUAAAUCAGCAAUUACAAUUAAAUGCCUAAAUACAACUAAGUCUCUAUUUAAUAAAGUCAGCAACUAUUAAACUCAGCAACAAAGUUGCAUAAAUUGGGCGCACACAAUUUGCAAUCAAGGUUUAUGAAAGAACAAAUAGAAAAAAGAAAUCAAGGGCACAUACUAUAUAAAUUCCAAAGCGGGAGAACUAUUAAAUUAAAAUCGAGAGCUGAUUCAAUAGAGGCAAAUAAUUGUACAAUCACAAUGAUUUCCAAACAAACUCUACACUAAGAAAAAUACCGUAAUUAAACUAAUUAUUUAACAAAAAAAAAUUAAAUUGAAAUGAUUGACUUAACAGAGAUUAUUGGUGGAGAAAGAAUAUUAAGGAUUCUAAAUUGAAAAUUAAGGUAAAGCUAUCAAAUUGUCGACUAAAAACAACAUCAUAAAAAAAAAAAACAAUUACUGAAAAAAAACAAUCAGAUUGAUGGAAGAGAAAAUAGUAAAUUGAAAAUUAAGGUAAAGCUAUCAAAUUGUCGACUAAAAACAACAUCAUAAAAAAAAAAAACAAUUACUGAAAAAAAACAAUCAGAUUGAUGGAAGAGAAAAUAGUAAAUUGAAAAUUAAGGUAAAGCUAUCAAAUUGUCGACUAAAAACAACAUCAUAAAAAAAAAAAACAAUUACUGAAAAAAAACAAUCAGAUUGAUGGAAGAGAAAAUAGGGCAGCAAACAGGAGAGAGAAGAGGAGAUAAAGAUAACCUGUUGAGUUCCGAUAUGAUGGAGAAGAUUGAUGGAAUUUGAGAAGAUAUAAAAGAGAAGAGGAGAGAAGAGGAGAGAAGAGAAAAUAGGGCAGCAAACAGGAGAGAGAAGAGGAGAUAAAGAUAACUUUUACACCUUUGUAGUUUGUACUGGAUCAGGGCAGAUUGUUACAUUGCGACGGGCAGGGCCGGACGAACUUUAGAAGGCGGGCACACAAACGGGAAAACCGGGAGACAAAGGGGCGAUCCCAGCCGCCGAAAGAGCUGCCCGAAGAAGAAGGAGCGAUCCCAGCCGCAGGCGCGACCUGCCCGCCCGGGCUGCCCAAAACUCUGCGUUAUAAUAAGUAGAUAACAUAUUUGAAAGUCGUAAAUUUUCUAACAAUCAAUCAUAAAUAAACAUGUCUUCGUCUCCAUGUAUGUAUCCAAACUGAAAUGACAAGACAAAGAGAACUAAAAACUCAAACAACACUCCACUCUGCUAAUCAUCUUCAUUGAAAGGAAAAGGACACUAAACACUAAUUUAUCACUAAUACACUCCUUUUGUUUUGCCACAAAUAGUCAAAUACACUAACUAAUGGUUGCAACCAAUGGGUUUUCAACAGUUGUGCGAAAAGUGACUAAACCCUAAUUUUAUAUAUAUAUAUAUAUAUAUAUAUAUAUAUAUAUAUAUAUAAACAUGAUAAAAUCUAAGAGCACAAAGUCAUAGUCAGAAACUCAGAAUCACUAAGCUUGGUUCUAUUUCUAUAUGGUGAUGGUGAUGGUGAUGGUGAUGGUCUCAUUAGCACAUUCUCUGAGUUUUUACAGAUACCACAUUAUUCAAAUUUCAAACAUAUAAAUAAAUCCCUAAAUCAUAAAACCCUAAUCUAAGAUUUUAUAUCAAAUUCGAAAAAUCUUUGAAAUUAAUUAAAUUUUAUAUAUAUCAAAGAGAGAUUUGGUUGGAUACCUUGAUGUAAACAUUCUCAGCAGCUUUUUUUUUUUCACUAAGCAUUUUUCCACCGCUAGAUAACCUUCGAGAUACAUAUCUUGAUGAGAUUCUUGCUGCCAUCACUUCACUUCUCCUUCUCUCUCUCUUUCGUUUAACCAAGCAGCUGAUUUCUAUAGUGUGGUGGUCAGGACUCAGGACUCAGGACUCAGGACUCAGGUGUAUCACGUAUCAGGUGUGUGGGUUCAUUCUAUAAAUAUUGGGGUGUAUAUAAUGUUACUUUCUAAGCCCAAGCCCAAUAACAAAUUUGUGUUUACGCCCAUUGGGCUAGGAUUUGUAAGAAGCCUGCGUUUAAGUUAACCUUUUUAACCAGAAAGAAACCCUACUUGUUCAUUCCACUCUCGAACUUCAUCUUCUUCGCUCGAACUUGCUUAAGGGAAAGAAAUGGUAUUGUUUCUCUCUAUAUAUCUCAUUGAAUCUUGAAAUAUCCAUUUUAUUUGAUUUGCUUGUGUUUUAAUUGAAUUGUUCUUUCUAGACUCGGCAGCUCCACCAAUCUGGAGGAGGAAACCAGAAGAAGAAGGUAAAUUUAUGGGUUUUUUUGGGGUUUAAAUGACUUUUUGUUGUUGUUGUUGUUGUGUGUAGAAAUGAAGCAAGGGUAAGCAAAAGGAGAAGGUUAACAACAUGGUUUUGUUUGAUCAAGCUAGUUAUGACAACCUUCUUUCUGAAGUGCCUAAGUAUAAGCUUAUUACUCCAUCCAUCUUGUCUGAUAGAUUGAGGGUAUGUUUUUUAAUCCAUUUUAUUUGUUUAAUUUACAAGUAAAUAUGACUUUUUUGUUGUUCAAGUACUAGAUUUUCCUUGUUUUAUUAUAUAUUUGUUAUGCAUAAUAAUGGGUUUUGCUUGCUGUGUAAAAACACAAUAGUUGAUUGGAUUUGUGAUUCUUUACAUAAUAUGAAACCUGCUUGUUCAGUUGCUCUACUAUUACACAAGUCCGAGUUGGUUGUUGAAUGCUUUGUAUCAUAGUGAAUGUGAAUGCAUACAGGUGUUAUUUUAUUGUUUGAAUUAAGAUAUCAUCCUAACAUUCAACUUUUUGGUAAAGUGAGUAUCUAUAAAUGGAGGCAGUUCUUUGAGUUAUAAUGACCGUUAACUUAAUGUAACUCAUGUUUUUGUAUUCUGAUGUGUCAGUGAACAAUAUGGAUACAUUUCUUUGAGAAAUGUAGAUAAAUAAGUGUUAAUGAUGAAAUGGUUUGAGGCAUAGAUAAUUGUUUUUCCAGCAUUAUGUUGUUUGGUCUGUAUGAGUUACAUUCACAUUUUUCCCCUAUCAGUGAUGUAGUUGGAUCUAUAAAAUUGUGAUGUUCACACCAUCUUCAGUUUCUUAGUAUAGUGGUUGACCAGAUAUAGGGUGAUUUAGGUUUUGGUCACCACUUUUUAGUAUAAAUUAGGUUUUGGAGCCGGUUUUUAUUUUUAUUAGGGUUUAGAGCUGAACCGACACUUGACCCAAGUAAUUGUUUAUAAUGGCCAAAAUACCCCUGAUCAAAACUAUAUUAGGGUUAGUGAUCACGUGCAGAUCACUUGAGUUCAGGGGUAAACUUAGGUAUUUUGAAAAUAUUUUCGAUUCAACCGGGUUUUUUUAGUUGUUGGUUCGAAAAUGAGCUCUAAACCCUAAUAAAGAUAAAAACCGGCUCCAAAACCUAAUUUAUACUAAAAAGUGGUGACCAAAACCUAAAUCACCCUAUAUCUGGUCAACCACUAUACUAAGAAACUGAAGAUGGUGUGAACAUCACAAUUUUAUGCCUUAUUGUAAACAAUCUUAUUUCAUACAUAAUAUUAUCAUUUCUUAUUAGGCCAAUUAGAAGAACUCUAAUCCAUCUAACCUGGUAGAUAUAUGCAAGAAAAUCCUAAUUGCUAACUAGCUGGGGUGUUAUAAAAAAAAACAAUUAAGUACUUUUUCAAUAAAUUAAAUCAAGCUAUUUCAAUCAAUAACUAGCUAGGGCAUACAACUGUAUCAUUCUCAUAAAUUUUUAUGCUCAGAUUAAGCGCGCAGAACUUAUGAAGAUAAAAGAGUAAAACUUUGCAAGCGCAUACCAGCAAAAGCAUCAAAAGGUUCAUCUCCAGCUGAGUGAGAACCAUUAGAUGUUGAAGGGGAGGUGACCAAAAUCUGUGACAUGCAGUAAAAUCCAUUAAGAAAAAAUAGACAAAUUUACUAAAAAUAAAAAAAAAAAAAUGUCUGCAUAUUAAAAUCAUUCAUUGAUGUUCACUGGAAUGAGAUUAUUAUAUAGUUUAUAACAUGCUAAUAAAUAAAAACAUCACAAGAAAAUAAAAUAUAAACUGAGAUCUCACUCAUUGUCUCCUUGAUUUUUUAUGCCUUCUACUACUCUCAACAACUUCAAAGGACUCAUCUGGAUUAUUGAAUACCAACUCUUCCUCUAUUACAACAUCAAGGUUGUUAGGCCCCACAUUUAUUUCAUUCACUGUUAUACCAUCUGAUAAGAGACGUGUUUCAUCAUCUUCCGAAUAAACCUUUUUAGGAACUUCUAAUACUACAUGCCAAUCAUGAGCCUUUGGAUCCUUGGAAUAAAAAACUUGAGAGGCAUGCUCUGCGAGGAUAAAUGGUUCAUCACCCAUUUGGUCGGAACUAAAUAGAUUAGACAAGUUUACCAAUUUCAAGUUUGCCUCCUUGUCAAUUCUCACACCAUGUUGUGUGCACUUAACCCAAUCACACUUGAAUAUAAUAGGCUUGUACCCACUUCUAUAAUCCAACUGAAUAAUUUUUCGGAGAACACCAUAAUAUUGUGCAUUGUAAUCAAUUGGAUUCUUAUCCUUAGCGCUAGAUCGGUCAGUAGUCGGACAACUUGUACUAAUACCACUAUUUUGGUUCUUUUUCGAUUCUUGAUAAUCUUUGGUGAUAAAUAGAAAACCACUGAGACAAUAUUUAUUAUACUUUGUCGCAACACGUGUCGGUCCUCUCACAACAUCCCUGAAAUGAACAUCAUUUGAAUCUAUGAACUCAGGUUGAUUUUUCAGCCAUGGAGUAAACUCUAACACAGGUACCCUAUGUUGCCCUGUCUUUCUUCUUGUGGAUGCACUAUUCUUUUCAAGAUAUUCGGUGUACCUCCUACGCAUUACAAUUUAAAUUAGACAACUACACAUUAAUAAAUAAAAUUGGCAUAUUUUUUUAAUAGUUGUAUGUAAAAAAAUCUUACAUGUUCCAGUUUGGAUAACUUGGAUGACUUUUUAAUACCCACUGGCGUGCUUGUUCGUAUUCAACACCUUCCAAACUAUAGUAUUUACUAGGGCCAACUGGACCAGUCUCAUCAACCAUGGAAUCCCCACUAACAUUAUCAAACAAAUCAGGCAAUGUGGGAGUUAAGUUUUCACCCAUUCUAUCAAGUUUCUCUUGGAUGCCACCCCCACAUUUGUACCCAGAACAGUAGAUUAAUGUUUCUUCCUUCAAAUAGCGCUCCGCAAUGCAACCCUCAGGACGUGCUUUGUUUGCAAUAUAACCUUUAUAAGUUUUCAUCAUCCUUCAUAAAAUUUAACAUGUAUCAGUAUAGAAAAAACAGGUAAAAUAUAAUAAAAUAACAAAGAAUAUAAUAGAAACAAAAUAUUUACCUUUCAAAUAUGUACAUCCAUCGGAAGAAGACCGGCCCACAUACACGAGCCUCAUAGGCUAGGUGAAUCGGUAGAUGCAUCAUUAUAACAAAUAAUGAUGGAGGGCAAUAUCUUUCUAGAGCACAUAGUGUCUUGACCAUACCCCUUUCCAAUGCAUUUAGUGUUUCAAUGUCUAUUGUUCUAGAGCAUAAAGCAUUAAAAAAUGUGCAAAUGCUCGUGAGUAUAGAUCGAGCUGCCUUUCUCUCAUUAUCUCUAUAUGCAUGUUGAAUCAACAUUGGGAGCAAAUGUUGCAUCAAAAUAUGAUAGUCAUGUGAUUUCAUCCCUUUUAAAUCCACAGAAUCCCCUUUGACAAUACGACCCCAAUUACUACUAAAGCCCACUGGCACACGCAGAUUUUGUAAUGUUUGAAGGAACAACUUCUUUUCUUCUUUUUGAAGCCAAAAGAUCCCUGGUCGCAUCUUUUGUUUGCCAUUGACUUCAGAUAUCCAAUAUUUCUUUUUUAUUUUUAAACGCUUCAAAUCCUUACGUGCAUUGAGAUGAUCCUUGGUUUUGCCCUUCGUGUUCAACAUCAUUGCAAGAAGGAUUUCACAAACGUUCUUUUCAAUAUGCAUGACAUCUAAGUUAUGACGAACAGGAAUAUACUUCCAAUAUUCAAGACCAAACAAUAUCGACCUUUUCGAAAAAUACAAGUUAUCUUCCUGGCCUUCAUCAUCAUGAAACUCCUCAACAUCUUGUUGUAUCAUUUUUCCUUUCCCCCAUUGUGUUCUUAAAUUCUUAGUGAUAUUGUCAACCUCAAUCCCAGUCAACCUUAAUGGUUGUUUUUCUUUUUCUUCUGUCUUGUCAAAAGUGCUUUCUCUUAUAUCAUUUCUAGUUUGAUCCUGUAGCGGCAACCAGCGUCUAUGCCUCAUAUACACAUCUUUCAUUCCAUAGUGGAGUCUAAGGGCAGCAGUUUUGGGUCCACAACAAGGGCAUGCAUAUUUUCCUUUGGUCUUGCAACCAGAAACAUUUCCGUAAGCUGGGAAAUCAUGGAUUGUCCAUAAUAAAAUGGCACGCAUAUUAAACACUUCACCUUUUAAUGCAUCUUUUACCAUAACCCCAUCAUGCCACAAGUCAUUCAACUCUUUAACCAAUGGUUGCAAAUAAACAUCAAUAUCUUUUCCUGGUUGUCGUGGGCCUUCGAUAAGCCCCGUGAGUAUAGUAAAUUGCGGUUUCAUACACAACCAUGGUGGAAGAUUGUAAGUUAUACACAUCAAUGGCCAUGAGCUGUAUGAAGUGCUUAAUGUACUAAAGGGAUUGAAGCCAUCAGUGGCUAAUCCCAAUCGUACAUUACGUGAUUCAACCGCAAAAUUAGGAAAUAUACUAUCAACUUGCUUCCACGCUCCUGAAUCAACUGGAUGUGCCAUCUUCUCGGGCUUAGACUUUCCAGUGGAAUGCCAACUCAUCGCUUUCGCCACCCAAUCAACAUUAUACAAUCUCUUCAAUCUAUUUGCAAGUGGAAAGUAACGGAAAACUUUCUCGGGGACCCUUACUCUCUUCUUAAAUUGCUCAAUGCCCGAGAUUUGAUAUCUUGGCACACUGCAGGUAGGACACUUAAGAUUCAGCUUUAUAUUCCCCCCAAUAUAAGAUGCAAUCAUUUCUACAUGCGUGAAUCUUCUCAUAACCAAGUCCUAAGUCAGUGAUUAUUUUUUCUGCCCGAUAGGUGUUCUCAGGUAAUUUAUUUAUUUAUUUAUUUUUUUUUUUUUGGUUGGCAAGCGAGGUUGAGGGGACCCCUACCCCUUUUAAAUUACGUGUCGAAACUUAUAUCAACAAUCAGCUGUUGACGUGUUUCGAACCCACAACCUCUCCACUUUGUGAGAGGGGUGCUACCAUUGAGCCACAGGCCCAUUCGCUCUCAGGUAAUUUAUUACCACGUGGAAACACAACUUUAAGUAAUUGAAGCAAUUCUGUAAAACUAUUAUCAGUCCACCCAUGUGUGAUUUUCAAAUUAAACAAUUUGACAAUAAACCUAAGAACAGUAAACUCUGUGGACCCAUCAUAUAAUGCACUCAUGGCUUCACGUAAAUUUGUAGUGAAGUUGACAUCUUCAAUGACUUCAACCUCUCCUUGAUCACGUUCAAGAAGUGUGUCCAAGGUAUUGGGACUACAACUUUCUACCACAGUACUAAAGACAUCAUUCAUGUUUAUCUCAUAUUCAUUUUCAUGAAUAUUUGAUCUAUUAACAUUCUGACCCUCUACUGGUUUCUCACCAUGCACACACCACACUUUAUAUGUACUAUCAAACCCAUGUCUAUAACAAUUCUCUGUGACCUCAUCAUGCGUCUUUGCUAUACCCUGGUUUUGACAUUUCCCGCAUGGACAAGGUAUGACUGUUUUGUUACGAUGGUGUAUCUUUGUAAAUUCCACAAAAUUUUUAACUCCAUUAAUGAAAAACUUAUCGGAAAAAUUCAAAUGAAUCCAACUCCUAUCUAUUGAGCAUGAGGCUUCCAUUUGUGUAUCUAACAUAUAACAAAUAAAAGUUCAUGAGACUAAAAGUUUUUAAAUGAAUAUGAAAUCCAGAUAACCUUCCAAAACAUAUGGCGUAUUGAAUGAAAAAAAAUACUCAUUUGAAAUAAAAGAAAGAAAAUAAGUCAUCACUAAUUUUUAAAGUCAUUUCAUCAAAUAAGUAGGUGUGGAGCCAAAAUUUCAACAAAUGUGGCAGCAAUUAUCACUUCAGUCUCAUCAUUAAGGAAGACAAGAAAAAAAAAAUAAAGAAGACAUACUCGCAAAAAAAAAAAAAAAAACACUAUUAACCAUAAAGAAGCCAAGAUAAAAUAAUUCGCCUUUUAAAAAUCGAGAGUUGAAAGAGAGAAUGACUUGAAGAGUGUAUCACCUAUAAUAAGAAAUUUAGAGUUAAAUACUCAAGAUAUUGAAAAAUAUAUUAGGUAAAUAAUAAAAAUAACUACUCAUGAAAUUUACAUAUAUUCCAGAAAUUAUAAUGAAUUUAGCGACAUCUAACCAAACAGUAAAGUUGUAUAUAGUUCUACCAAUAUUAUAUAUAGUAGGUGCACUUGCAAGGUUCAAUGGGAACACUCAAGCAGUUUAAGAUACACUACAUAUAAAAAUUCUCUUGGAUUCAUCACAAAUCUCGCAAACUGUAUUAUACUUUCUAAGGUAGUUUGGUAAUCCAUCAUGGAACGAGUAGAUGUCUAUAAUAAUCAAGAUGAUAAUCAAUGCAAAUGCGAGUAGAUGUCUAUAAUAAUCAAGAUGAUAAUCAAUGCAAAUGCUUUAGCGGCCUUAUCUUCCAUUACUUGUAAAUUUCCUGUUCUUCACAACUAGGAAGUAAAUUGAUAUGUUGGUUUAGUACAAGCAAAAUUACAAUAAAAUUAGAUUUUCGAAAUUGGGUAUUCAAAGCAAAUAGAGAAGAUCGAAGAAAUUGCUCGAUUGAGAAAGGAGCUAUAAUUUACUCAAUUUUUUUUUAUAAAAACACAAAGAAAAAACAAAGGGUUGUCAAGAAUUAUAUUGAAAGGUAAGGUUUUUUAAGGAAAAAUUAAACUUUUCAUAAAUCGAUAAGAGACAUUAAAAAAAAUCAAUUUCAAAAAUUCAGACAAUUUAAGGACCAAAUCAACCUAUAUACAACAUAGAGAAGGAACAUGUACCUUAAAGAGAGCAACUUUGAAAACCUAGCUGAAAAAUUCUACACCCAUACAACUUAAUUAGGUUAAAUUAGAUGAAUGGAUAAAUGGAUUUGAGAAAAUUGGUUGUUAAUUCAGUGAGUGUGCGAGAGAAUUUGGGGAAAUUGGUUCAUAACUUAGUGAGAGGGUGAAAGGAUUUGAGAAGUUAGUUCAUACUAUGAACUUCAUAGCACAGUGGAGUGAGAAAGAAGAAGAAGAAGAAAGAGAAACAAAGUGGGGGAAACCUUUUAGCUAAUAGGGUUAUUAUGAAAGAAUUUUUCUUUUCUUUUCGCGGCAAUAUAAGAUAGGGUUUUUAAUUUGGCGCUCAAGAAAAUAAGCAAUUCCUACAGUUUUGGGCUAUCGAAACUGUAUUGUUAAAAUCUGUAAACAGUUGGACGGAUUUUACCCCUAACAUGUCCGUAGCUAAAAAACCAAAAUUUUAGCAUUUUAAUUAAAACUUUACCGACGGUCCUAAGACGAGUUCCCUACAGAUCUAGACCGUAGCUAUUUACCUACAAACAAAGUCUGUCGGCGAAAAACUUUAUAGUCCGUCGGGGAAACCCAUUUUUCUUGUAGUGAGUUGAUCCCUCCAAUUCGUCCAAUUUAGGGAUGGCACCAUAUUCAUGGCCGGGGCUACACAUGGUUCAUAUGUAAUGCAUACCACCACUGCCAUGCCAUUACCAUGUGAACCACAACAAUAACGACUACGGCAGUAACUAUCCUACGUUCUUCUUCACCACUGUCCAUUCUAUAAAACCCCAACAACGUCAAAACUCCACGAUUGUAACACACACUUUAAACACGAUUGUAUUUUAAGUAAAACAAAACUUUUAAAUUUCAAAACAUAUAUUAAAAUGUGCCAUUACAAAUUUCAUUACAAGGUGACGUUAACAUAUCCCAAAGUUAUGUUACAAUUUCUUAAAAAUUCUAAAUAACAAAUAACAACUUUAAUAACACCGCGAUGAUUACAACUAACAAAACUACAAUCAGGUUCUUCACCAACCACCAAGUAUCAUCUAAGGAAAUUGCACGCAUUGUGUUGGGGAUACGGUCAGUCGAAGUAGAAGAAACACAAGAAUAGCUUCUAGAGGCAAUGGGGCUGGGUAGUGGUUGGGAGCAUGCAAGUUCUACUUCGGAGUCCAAGCUCAUGUAGUAAUUCAAAAGUAAGCGAGCUUGUGCGAUUGAAGUACAACCUUCCCAACAUGCUCCUUCAAAAUUCCUAAUCUGAGUAUCGGCUUGAGGCCAGUUUGUAUAAAUACCAGGGUUCCGGCAAUUUCGAACCAGGUAACAUGCAAAUUUACCCAUUUCGAAUUCUGGAAAAUAUAUCGACAACUCACAUAUCUUUUUAUAAACAAACUACCCUAUUACAAAUAACGGUACAUGAUGUAAUCUAAACGAAUUCAAACAAACUACCAUUUCACAAAUAACGGUACUUGAUGUAAUUUAGACGAAGACAUGGUAUCACUUUUCAUCGUGCAUCAUUAUUGACCAUUCCUAAAAUAUGUUCAUAGCAUUUUAAAUAAAAACAUGGUCACAAUAUGUAUAUGCAUUCUCAUUUAAAUAUACAUUCAUUACUACGCAUUUUAGUAUAACAUUCAUUACUAUACAAUGUCAAAAUCGAAGCAUAACAUGUCUAUUAUAAAGUGAAGGAGAGGUCAAAAUUGGCAUACCUUAAGCGCAGCAGCAACAACCCGACACGCAAGCUUAAAAUCGACGCGAACCACAGAGCACAGAAAACUACAACAGUAAAACGAUCCUUGCAUUAUAAAAAUACAAAACAAAAAUAAAACAAAUAGAUCAAAAGAACAAAACAAUGAAUUACCUGUAAUGGAAACAACAAACAGGUACAGAAAUUAUCCCCACCACAAAUUAAAACCACCGUUGCGCAUAACGAGAAACAUACCCCCCCCCCCCCCCCUAAAAAAAACCCAUAAAUCAAUACUUGCAUACAGUUAAAUGUAAAACCUGAUAAGAAGGUUUCUUACCAAUCAAUACUUGCAUACAGUACUUUGUAAUCGCAAUGCUAUAUAUCUUAUUGACUACAUUAAUGAUACAUUGAUACAACUUGUAUCACACCAAUGCAACAGUCAUCAAGACUCACUAAUAUAUGAAAAUGAGUCCUUUACUUAUCAAUAUUCAAUAUCAUUAUGCGCAACUAUUUUAUCAUAUAUAGAUAUGAAACAAUUGUGAAACAAAAUGAAACUUAAGAUGCAUCAAAUACUGAAAUGGAAACACUAGUCAUACUGUACCAACAUUGGGCUUACAUUAUUUCCAGUUUUUAGAGUUGAGGCUAGUUUCAUCUAUUUGGGACUGCACUGUUAUCAUUGUGAAACAUUAUUGAAAUCCAAAAGCCUAAUCAAAAUCCUAUUGCAAAUGAUGAAUGGUACAAAAACUCUGAACUGAAAACAACAUUGUCCUAACAAUAAUAGAAUUUGCACUGAAUAUGAAGGUCAAAACUAUGUAAAAACUAAACUUCUACAGAAUGUGUCACAUUGAACACACAAAAUGAAUCUGUGAAUCUCUUUUCAACUAUCUAUCAGAACAUUCCAAGAAACAAAACAAAUAAAGGUUUGCGCCAAGGGGUUGCAGGAAAAAAACCAAAAAAUAAAAAUAAAUAUAUAUAUAUAUAUAAUAUAUAUAUAUAUAUAUAUGGGGAUUUAGAGAUACCCCCCAAAAUAAUAGGAACUCUUUGAGAUACCCCCCAGAUUUAGAAACUCUUAGAGAUACCCCCCAUUUUUCCAUUUGAAGCCGGUCAACCAAGCCGUUGACCAUGGUCUGACCAGUCUUCAUAAUUUGUAGACAAUUUUACCCUCCCACCAUUUAAACCCACAUCCUAGUCAUUUUGCCCAGUCAUCAAUAAUGCCAUGUCAGCAAACCCACUUACAACUACCACUUCUUAUCCUAACCGUUCAAAAUAGAUCUAGAUCUAUAUCUAAUCCUAUCUACCGUUACAUCAUCAAACUCCACAUUUUUCUUCCUCCUCCUUCUUCUUCCUCCUCUUUUCUUCUUCACCAUCAUCAAACUCCAUCUCUCACUUUUUCUUCUUCACCAUCAUUUCUUUUCUUUCUUCCUUCUUCUCCAUCCUAUCUACCUAUCUAUCUUGCUUCUUCUUCAUCAAACCAUUCUUCUUUCACCUUCAUUUUUCUUCCUUCUUCAUUAACAGAUCUAGCCAUUAUCAUCUCUCAUUUAUUACUCCAUUACUAGAUCUGGUGAAAGAAUGACACUCCAUUACUCGAUCUAGAAGAACCAAUAAAUACUUCAAUUUUUAGUAGUUUUACUAGAUCUACCUAGUUGAAACGUUGAUAUGAAGGUAAAUUAUAGUAUUUAGUGGUUUUGUACUGUGUAUUUUAGUAUUUUUUGAGAUUUGGUUCAUCAUCUUUCAUCAUCUUCCCCAAAUUACCUUUCUCUGCAAUUUGGGGGGUAUUUCAAAUGAAACUUGUAUUUUGGGGGGUAUCUCUAAUGAAAGUUUUGUUUGUUUUGAACAGAUAAUUUGUCAAAUGUGUGACCAACUUGGACAUUGUGGAGAUGAAUCAGUCUGAACUUAAAGUGAAGCAAUCGGAGACAUUGAAUGCGUUUCAUAUUAUUUCUUUAUCUGAAGGGUUUGAUUUGUCGCCUUUGUUUGAAGAAAAGAAAAGGGAAGAGAAGGAGGAAUUAAGAUUUGCGACAACAAAGCCAGCAAGUAGUGUGAUAUCAAAAUUGGAAGAUUUGGCAAAAUCAGUGAAAUUCAGUGUUAGGAAGAGUGAAUCAAGAGUUAGAUUGGAAGGAAGUGAGAGGGGAAGGAAAGGGAAAUUGUCAAUUGAAGCAGAGAUAUUUGCGAUGACACCUUCGUUCUUAGUGGUGGAAGUGAAGAAAGAUGGUGGAAAUACUUUGGAAUAUAAUCAGUUCUGUAGUAAAGAACUUAGACCAGCAUUGAAAGAUAUCUGUUGGACAUCACCAGCUGAAAAUCCUACACCUGCUUGAUGAAACUUAGAAGUAGAGGGAUUUUAAGAAUUUAACAAAAUUCAAUGUAGUUGUAAUUGUUUUUGUGGUUUCAGUUAUGUUGAUUUCUUUGUUAUUUUCUCUUAUUAUUCCGUCAUUUGGGUGUUUUUAUGUUUUGUGAUUAUGGAUUUAUGGUGGUGGUUUUCUCCUUUAUGUGAUGAAUUGUGCAUAUUGCUUCUUUGUUGUGUGAGCAUUUUAUGGUUAAUGGUUCUGAUCUUUCUGUAUAUUGAAUGUGCUGGUUUUUUUUCUUUCACUUCAGAAUAGACAUUCUCUGAUGUAAUUGGCAGUAAGAUUGAUGCUAAUGGUAGAUAUUCAAAAUGUGUGAUGAAGAAGAAGCAAGAUAGAUAGGUAGAUAGGAUGGAGAAGAAGGAAGAAAGAAAAGAAAUGAUGGUGAAGAAGAAAAAGUGAGAGAUGGAGUUUGAUGAUGGUGAAGAAGAAAAGAGGAGAAAGAAGAAUGUGGAGUUUGAUGAUGUAACGGUAGAUAGGAUUAGAUAUAGAUCUAGAUCUAUUUUGAACGGUUAGGAUAAGAAGUGGUAGUUGUAAGUGGGUUUGCUGACAUGGCAUUAUUGAUGACUGGGCAAAAUGACUAGGAUGUGGGUUUAAAUGGUGGGAGGGUAAAAUUGUCUAAAAAUUAUGAAGACUGGUCAGACCAUGGUCAACGGCUUGGUUGACCGGCUUCAAAUGGAAAAAUGGGGGGUAUCUCUAAGAGUUUCUAAAUCUGGGGGGUAUCUCAAAGAGUUCCUAUUAUUUUGGGGGGUAUCUCUAAAUCCCCCAUAUAUAUAUAUUCAUAAGAUUCCAUAAUAACCACACCUAUGAUCAGAAAAACAGGAUAUUCUUGUGGUGCAGAUUGUUCUCAAAAUACAUAUUAGUAAAGAUGUGUGUUGCACUGCUGAAGAUGACAUGUAACCGAUGGCAGGUGUAAACACAUAGCAUGUCACUGGGAAAGUAAAAAGGAAGCAGCAAAAUGAAUCGUGCUCGAAGCCUAUAAAAUAUCAAAACCUCGAGGUGGAUAUUCAGUUGGACAUAUAGUAUAUCGAAAUACCAGAACCAAAUGAUCGCACAUGUAUUUAGACCCAAUAUGCUUGUUUUAACUAAAAUAUUUUCACACCAGAACCAUUACAAUCCUUGCGUGAAGAAUGGUUACACAAUCUCAACCAAAUUGUGUCUGUUUGCAUCUGUUUGUGAACAGCUACCCAAACUUCUCAUAUGCUUUAGACUUUCUAUAAUACUAAUCCAUUUAUACAAAAAAACCUAAUCCAUUUAUACAAAAACCCUAAUCCCCAAUCCAUUUAUACAAAAACCCUAAUCCAUUUAUACAAAAACUGCAAAAUUGAAACAAAAUCCCCAAUGUGGUGAUUCCUACAGCAACAGUUAAAUAAUAAAUCACCCCCCUCCCCCCCAAAAAAAAAACAUGGAGAAUUAUCUUCUACACAUUGCAGCAGUAAAAUGUAAAACCUAAUCCCCAAUUUAUUACCCUUGAAAAAUAAAAAGCAAAAUAUAAACCCUAACCCUAAUUUCAUAACUAAAAAUUGAAAAAGAAUCCCCAAUUAUACAAAAACCCCCAAUUUUGACAAAAUAAACCCCUAAUUAUACAAAAAAACCCAAUUUUGAUAAACCCUAGUCCAUUUAUACAAAAAACCCCAAUUUUGAAAAACCCCCAAUUUUGAUAAACCCUAGUCCAUUUAUACAAAAAAACCCCAAAUUGAAACAGAAUCCCCAAUUUUCAUAACCAACCCUAACUCUAAUUUCAUAAUUCCACGAAAUUGAAGUAGUAGUCAUGCUUAUUCAAGCAUAAUUUGAUCAACACAACCCUAAAUUUACAUAAUUUAUACAAACCCCCAAAUUUUCGAAAAUCCUAAUUACAAAAUUUGAAAAAAUCGAACAACCCUUCUCAAUAAAUCAAAAAUUGCAGCAGGAAUGAAUGUUUUUGUUGUAUACAUCAAAACAGAAAUCACCAUCGCCAUCGCGAAAAACUUAGAAAUGGAUGAAGAGAGAAGAAGUGGAAGUAGAGAAAUGGAAGUGGAGAAGAGAUUACCUGUCGAAAUCAAAGUGAAAUCAAGUUUUACUAGAUAGUAAUCGCCGUCGCCAUCGUUUUCUCGCUUUUGAACAGAUGUUGCGAAAUUUGUAAAGGAAAAAAAAAAUCGCUUUUAUACCUAUGCAAAUCAAUCCGGGUAAAUACCAUCGGGGAAUUUUACCCAACCCCAACCCCCCCCCCCCCCCCAAACCGAUUCACCCGGAUGAAUCCGGGUAAAUGGGGUCACGUGCUUGUUUUCGGUAAAAAGUAUCCGGAGCAAAUUUUGGUUAUCAAAUACAUGUGAUUGGCUGGUCAAACCGUGCAAAACCCAUUCACCCAGGUGAAUAGCCUUAUUCACCGGUUAUCAAACAGACCCUUAGUUCAAUUAAUCUUCGUUGCAGGUGGUAGGUCACAUUAACUUUUGUUGCAGGAUUUGACUUACCAAAGUUACACUCGCAAGUGGUAAGUUGGUAAGUUGCUUUAAAUUAUAUUAAUUGUAAUGCAUGCGUAGUUAGUUGUUUUAACUGUGGACCGUUGAUAGUUUUGGUGAGCUCUCCUUUCAUGAGAGACACUCACACCAGCAUAUUCGAAAUGCUGACCCUCGUUGUUUCUUUUGCGACUUGGGGUACGUCUCGGUCGGGCAUAGAGGAGGAGCACUGGAUUAGAGAUAAUGAGACUGGAGCUGGAGUUGAACUUUGGAAAUAAGGUAAUUAAUAUUUCUGAAGUUAUCUAUGAUCCUCUGUAGUCUAUUAUUUUGAAUGUUUUUUUGCCUAACUGGGUCCCAUGUGGGGCCGACCCGCUCAUACUCUGGCUUUUGAUUUAUGAAUAUUUGCUAUUUAUUUGGUGGAUAUUCAUUUAUCAAAAAUCGGGGCGUGACAACCGUAUUCAGUCGCCAGACUGUUUGAUUUUGGUUAACUAGUUCAGUGCUUAACUGAACAAUGCAUUGGUUUUUCAAUUAAGUGGUUCAGCCAAAACAAAAAUUGGCAGAAUGAACCUCUGAAUGACUAAACGAAGCCAAAAAGACCAACUUACCUCCAAACCCUUUCAUUUCUCUCGCUAUUCAUCUUCACCUUCUUCUAAUCUACUUCUGUUGUUGAAAACCUAACGCUGUGAUUUUAAGCUUUUAACCCAACGCUGUUAUGAAGUGAUUGGCUAUCUUGAUUGAUGGGACUUCGCAAGGAGGCCACGAAAGAAUAUAAGCAAGGCCGCCAUUGCUAAUGUUGUGAAUGGACAUCCAGACAAUGCUUCGGCUAAUGUAGCGCAAUCAAGUAUGAAUGGUAAGGUUAUUUCGAAUAGUACAUGGAUAAUCGAUUCAGGUGCAUCUGACCAUAUGACAAAUGACCCUAACCUUGUGGAAAGUCUUAGAGCUUCACCUCAAAACGUCGUUUCUACUGUUAAUGGUACUCCAACUCCGGUUAGCGGAGAAGGUUCUAUUGUGUUAUCUGAUACCCUAACUCUUGAAUCUGCCUUAGUUGUUCCAUCUCUAGCUUAUAACCUAUUGCUUGUUUGUCAAAUUAUUCUAGCACUUGCAUGUAUUGUGACGUUCUAUCCAUAUUUCUGUAUUUUUCAAGACAUUCUGACUCGACAGGUCCUCGGUUAUGGUGUUAGAAGGGGGAAAAUGGAAAACGUACUAUUUGGAUUUGACAGAAACUGAAGAGAAACAGAUGAAUUUUCUGGGGCAAGCUAAUCAGAUCAAUAGGGUCGAGAAUGCAAAAGAAGUUGUGUGGCAUCGGCGUUUAGGUCAUCUAUCCUUUAGUUAUCUUAAGAAGUUACAACCUUGUUUAUUUUCAGUUGUUAGUGAUUCUGAAUUUCAUUCAGACAUUUAUGAACUGGCCAAGAGCCACCGUAUUUCAUAUUCACCAAGUAUUAAUAGAUGUUUUGUUCCUUUUAUGAAAAUUCACUCUGAUGUUUGGGGUCCUGCAAAAGUUUCUUCAUUUUCUGGAGCUCGAUAUUAUGUGACUUUUAUUGAUGAUUGCACCACAUGACUUGGGUGUCAUUACUGAAAAAUAAAAGUGAUGUAUAUGGGAUGUUUACUAAUUUUUACAAAAUGGUGGCGACGCAGUAUCAACAAUCUAUCAGGAAUUUCAGUCUGAUAAUGGUAGAGAAUUUGUGAAUGGCCUCAUGUCUGAAUUUUGCCGGUCAAUUGGAAUUCGUCAUCAAACCUCCAAUUCUGGUACCCCCCCAACAAAAUGGUUUAGCAGAACGGAAGAACAGGCAAUUGUUGGAAGUUGUUCAUGCUUUCUUGUUUGGCAUGAAUGUAUCUCGAUCCUAUUAGGGUGAAGUAGUGAAAUCAGCAGAUAUGUUAUCAAUUGUACUCCCUCACGGGUAAUUGAGUUCCAAAAUUCUUAUCAGAAACUCCAUACACUUUUGUCUACCCCAUCUAUGCCUAACUUGGAGCCUCGGGUGUUUGGAUGUGCAGCUUAUGUCCAUAUUCCAAAAUCAGAACGAAGUAAACUUGAUCCUCGUGCGAAGAAGUGUAUGUUUGUGGGUUAUGCAGAGUUUCAGAAAGGGUAUAGGUGUUAUGAUCCACUUACUGACAAAAUGCAUAUAUUUCUUGAUGUCUCAUUCCAUGAAUCAGAUCCGUAUUACUCAGGGGGAAUUUCCCAGUCUUCCCUUCAGGGGGAGAGUGGCGGUGAAAGGAAUCCUUGGUCUAUUGACAACUUUGAUGUCUUUGAAGAAUUGGAACACUUGGAGGAACGAUUUGAAGUUCAUGCAGUAGAAAUUGAUUUUGUAGCAGUAGAGAAUAAUCAUGAGCAGACAAUCAACCAUUUGGUUCCCAGCGAUCAGACAGAAGUACAUGAUUAGGAUGUAUCUGAAACUGUAGUACACGAUAUUUCCCCUUCUACAUCAACAACUGAAGAUCUCGGUUAGAAUGAUCUGCCUCACGUACCUCCUAUAACCUUUAAUAAGUCUGUUGGGUUAAAAAGUCUCGAACUUAGAAAAUCACAAAGAGCUAGUAAGGGAGUUCCUAAAAAACAAUAUGAACUAGACAUUAAAGUCAAUGUUAAAUAUCCUAUAACUAACUUUAUGUCUAACCAUAGGCUUUCUGAACCACAUGCACUUGUUAUAAAUCAAUUAUCUACUAUAUCUAUUCCUAGUAACGUGCAGGAUGAUUUGAAAGAUCCAAAAUGGAAGAAAGCAAUGAAUGAAGAAUUUGAAGCGCUUUAAAAGAAUGUAGCAUGGGAGGUAGUUGAUAUGCAUGUUAGAAUGAAGACUGUUGGAUGUCGUUGGGUGUUUACCGUGAAGCUUAAUGCAGAUGGAACUAUUGAUAGAUAUAAGGCAAGAUUUGUUGCCAAGGGAUACACACAACGUUAUGGAAUUGAUUAUGAGAAGACUUUCGCACUUGUGGCGAAGAUCAAUACUGUUCGAAUUUUAAUUUUGCUUGUAGCAAAUAAAGAUUGGCCCUUGCACCAGCUUGAUGUGAAGAAUGCAUUACUGAAUGGGAAUUUGGAGGAAGAAGUAUACAUGGAUAUGUCUCCAAGUGUGAAGAACCAUCCCGUAGAUGUUGGAAAGGUGUAUAAACUGAAGAAGUCUUUGUAUGGCCUGAAAUAGUCUCUAAGAACUUGGUUUUGAAGAUUUACAAAGUCCAUGAGAGCUUUUGGGUACAAACAGAGCAAUUCUGACCAUACCUUGUUUAUCAAACACAAGGAUGGUAAGAUUACAUCUCUAAUUGUGUAUGUGAUGACAUGAUCGUUACAGGGGAUGAUCCGAAGGAAAUAAAUGAAUUGCAGAAGUAUUUGUCGAAGGAAUUUGAAAUGAAGGAUCUAGGACAACUGAAGUAUUUUUUGGGUAUUGAAGUUGCAAGGUCUAAAAAGGGGAUUUCACUUUCACAGAGGAAGUAUGUCCUUGAUUUGCUUGUUGAAACAUGGAUGUUGGAUUACAAACUGAUGGAGACACCUAUUGAGAUGAAUCAUGGACUACUCGUCAUUCAUCCUGACCAAGUUCUUACUGAUAAAAGAAGGUAUCAGCGUCUUCUAGGAAGGUUAAUUUAUCUCUCUCAUACUAGACUUGAUAUUGCUUAUGCUGUGAGUGUGGUUAGUCAGUUUAUGCAUUCUCCUAGUGAAGAACAUAUAGAUGCAACCUUUCAUAUCUUGAAGUAUUUGAAGAAGGCACCUGACAAAGGUUUACUGUUUGAAAAGAAUGAUGUAUUGGACGUUGUUGGAUACACAAAUGAUGAAGUGAAUGUUGUUGGACACAAAGAUGCAGAUUGGACUGGUGAUAAAACUAAUAGACGUUCUACAUCAGGAUACUUUACUUUUGUCGUUGAAAAUCUUGUAACUUGGCGUAGUAAGAAGCAGAAAGUUGUUGCCAGAUCGAGUGCAGAGGCUGAAUUUUGAGGUAUGGCUCAUGGAGUAUGUGAAUUGUUGUGUAUCCGUAAUGUCUUGAAGAAAUUGGGCUUCAAUCUUCAAAAGCCUAUGGAUUUACAUUGUGAUAAUCAAGCCGCCAUUCAAAUUGCACAUAAUCCAGAUCAGUAUGAUCGAACAAAGCAUGUGGAGGUUGAUCGUCGUUUUAUUAAAGAAAAUCUUGUCAGGAUCAGAAGGUUAUUCGCUUUCCUUUCGUAACCUCAGAGGAGCAAUUAGCUGAUGUUCUUACCAUAGUACAAAAUAUCGCGAUAUCUAUCGGUUUGAGAAAAAACGAUACGAUACUUUACCUAUUUUAUUGCCUUAAAUUAUCUGUUAUAUAUCAAAUUUAUCGGCUCGAGUCAAUAUUUAGUGAUAAUUUUUGAUAUUUUCUGGAAAAAAAUUCAAUUGGGUGUCUUUUGUUCAUCUCUUUCAUCGUCUUCCUCUCUCCCACAAUCUAUCAUAUACACAGAUUUGAUUUGAUUUGAAAAAAAAAAAAAAGCCAAGAACACAAGAAGAGGACAAUUAAGAAAAGUUAUAAGAUCUAUGCUGGUUCUUCUUCCACAUACAUUAGAUUUAAGUAUUUAACCAUAAGAAUUUUGAUUAGAUAUCUUGGUUAGAGAAAGCUUGAAGAAAGAUUUUUUUGAGAACAACUGUCUAAAAUCUUGGUUUGUGAAACUUCAAUGUUCUUAACUUUGGCCAGAUCUGUAGCUCUGAAUAAGAUGUUAAAAUAUCUUUCAUCCUUGAAUUCAAGAUCUGUUUCUACAAAUAUAUCUUUUCCUAAAAGAGAAGAAAACUAUUCCUAAUUUAUUUGCGUAAUUAAAUGCGAUGACUUGCAAGUGAUGCAUUUUUUUGGGCAAGAUGGAUUUACUAUAUAUAUCUUAAAGGAAAAAAAAAAUCGAUAGAUAUAUUCCGAUGUAUCCGGAUAUAUCAGAUCAAAGGAGAUACGAUAUAUUCUUAAAUAUCGACUUUUUGUACUAUGGUUCUUACCAAAGGUGUAUCUAAAAAAUGCUUCGACAACUCAGUUGACAAGUUGGGCAUGAUUGACAUCUAUGCACCAACUUGAGGGGAGUGUAGAAAGCUGUAUAUAUAUUCUAAAUAGGAAACAAUAUAUUUAUGAUAUAUUUAGAAUAUUAUGUAUUUAGAAUAGUGUGUCUUGGUAGACAAGAAACUAACUUGUAUAUAAACCUAUGUUUUGGGAUGAAUCAAAAUGACAAACUGAAUUGAAUUGAAUUGAAGUCUUUUAUUUAACAAAAUGGAUCAAUAGGUGCUUUCCGCAAAACAUGGACCCUAGCUCACAUCGGCAACGAUUAACUAAAAAACUCAAUAAAUAAUCCUACGUACUUGAAGAAGCAAAAUUGUCUCAAGAAUAUAGUACGUAAGAAUGGUGUAACUUACCCUUCGCUAAGAUGCUUCUUGCCUGACAUAAGACCGGAGUCGAACACCAAGCCUUAACUGAAAUUUAAUAUCGCAAAAAUAACACCAAGCAAAAUUUAAGAUGCACAGCAAUAUAUCUAAUCACUUAUCAUAUAAAAAAGAUGCAUGAAUGCUUGUUUCUUGACCAAGCAAAUCAUUUCAAAAAAAAACAUAAAAAUUGCUUUACCAUUAGGGGUGUUAUGUGAGCUGAGCAGCUCGAGUUCGGCUCGUGUUCGGCUCGAAAAAAGCUCGGCUCGGGCUCGCUCAUCUUGUAAAACGAGCCGAGCUUAAGCAGAUUUUAGGCUCGGCUCGAGCCCGAGCCGAGCUCGAGCUUUAUUCGAGCCGAGCCGAGUAGCUCGAAUUUAGAUAUGGUUAAAUUAUGUUACCCAUCCUACCCCCAUUAAUAUGUGUUAUUCCUAUCCUACCCUCGCUAUAUAUUAAUAUAUCAACAUACCAAUAUGUGAAACCUAGCCGUCUCCCUUCUCCUUCUUUCUCUUGUUCAAAUAGUGAAAAAUCUUCUUCUAUUAAUAUUAAAGCUGUUUCUAUGAAAAGAAUGCGUGAGCAUGAAGAAGAUCUUGAUAAUCAGGUUUGUUAAUACCCUUAUUAAUUUGAUGAAAUAUGAUUCAUUUGUUUUUUUUAUAAAGUUCUUUAUCUAACGGUUGAGAUUUUUUGUAGGAUUAUAAAUGUUGUUCUUCGUCUUCUUCGGGGAAUAAAGAAGAAGAGGUGACUUCUUUAGACUGUUUGAGGCCUUUGAAACAACGAAAAAUAGAUGAAGAAGAGUUGAUUCUAUCUGGAGUAAACGAGUCGGAAUCAGAUCUACUUGUUCAAUCGCUCAAAAAAUUUCAUCAGAAAAUGUUAUUGGUGCAAUAAUUAGCACAAAUCUAAUUAACCUGAUAAUUAAAAUGUAAUCUAUCCACUAUCAGUUUAUCAGUGUAGAAUCUGAUUUUUUUUUUGUAAGAAUCAGAUCUACUUUCUUUGCUGCUGCUGCUGCUUCUUCUUCUUCACAAUCAUCUAUUUUUGUAAUGAAUUAAAUUACGAUAAUCUGAUUAGUGUAAUUAAUUUAUUUAGUUAUGGGUAAGGAAGUUGUAUCAUUAGUUUUAGAUAUCGAGAUCUGUUUUAUACCAGGAAAAAGCUGCAAACGAGAGCUCGAGCUGAACGAGCUUUGAGUGUUCGAGCUUGAUUCGAGCUAAACGAGCUUGGAGGGCUCGAGCUCGGCUCGAGCUAAACGAGCUUAACGAGCUCGAGCUCGAGCUUGAUAAAUAGCUCGCGAGCCGAGCUUGAACAUAAAACCAGGCUCGAUUCAGAAAUUGGGCUCGGCUCGGGCUCGGCUCGUAUUAAAACGAGCCGAGUAUGAGCAUUCAAAGCUCGGCUCGCUCGGCUCGAAUAACACCCCUAUUUACCAUCUUCAAUUUAUUGCCUCCAUAAAUGUGACACUAAAUUAUUUUAGUAAAUUAGCAUAUCUAUUUAAUCUCCUCCUCCAGACUUGCUCGGGAGGGUUCGAAAUCCAACUAGAAGCAUACUGAAAAAAUAUAUCAGGGCAAAUGAAAUUGAAACAAAAAAACAAUGCGUCUCAGCUUCCGGCAGUUUUUUGUCUAGAGUUAAAAACAAAUGAACUUCUUGAUCACUUUCAUCUACGGUUAAAAGCUUGCGUAUCCUCUCAGCUUCCAGCAGUUUUUUAUUCUAGAUACAUCAAAUACCUUACUUUCUAGUCAUCACUUUUUGUUAGCAAACCACCCUAUCAGUGAAGUACAUUUUGAACAGACAAACCCACCUUUUCUGCAGUCAGACCUGACCUCCAGUCACAACAACUCCCUCUGCAUCUUUCUAUACCCUUCAUCUCUUUCUUUCGAUGAAUUUACCUAACCAUAGACCUCCAGUCACAACAACUCCCUCUGCAUCUUUCUAUACCCUUCAUCUCUUUCUUUCGAUGAAUUUACCUAACCAUCAGAUGAAGAUAUUAUUUCACUCUUUUGUUCAUUUUGGACAAGAAUACCCACUACUCUUAUAUCUCAUCUACAAAAAAGCCUUUAUUCUAGGGCUGGGCAAACAAACACUUAAGCAGAACUGAACCGAAUCGAAUACUUUUACGAGUGUUUGCAUGUUUAUAUGUUGAAAUUUUUACAAAAUACUUUUGAAGGUGUUCGGUUUCGGUUUGCUACUACUUAAAACACCUAAAAUAAAAGACCUAUAUUUAUAGUUCAACACAGUAGCCCAUUAUCUAGUCCAGCCUGGUUAAACGUAGCCCAUAAUUACACUUAGGGUUCGACAAAAAAUCUCACUUCCUUUGAUUUUCUUAUUCAAUUAAUGGAUGUUUCUUCAGUUCUUCUUCAAUUAAUGGUUGUUGCUUGUACUAAUCAACUCUAAUCAACAUCAUCUUCUUCGGUUUUCAAUCAUCAUUGCUUGAUAAAUUGAUGAAUAGUUGCUAAUAUUAAUAUUGUGAUCAAAAUUUUAUGUUUUUCUUAUAGAUUUUCACUUUUUCAGUACUGUCAUACUUGAUCAAUUUUUCUUUUUUGGUUCCCGAACUUUGAAAAAAUAAAGGUGUUUGGUUCGAUUUUUCGGUUAACCAAACAUAUAGAAGGUAUUCGGUUCAGUUUCGAUUUUUGUUUAAUACAAGCAGUUUGGUUUGGUUCGGUUCUGUAAACUAAAUUGGUCGGCUUAUGUUCAACAAAUUACAAAACACCUACUAUGUUGUUCGGUUUUGACUUUAUUCAAAACCAAACCAAACCGAACCGUGCCCACCUCUACUUUAAUCCCCAUUCAACUUAUCCACAUUAGUUCUUAAAAAUAACUGCAAACCUCAACCUCCCUCGAAGAAUCAUGCAAAUUCCUCUGAAUCAACUUCAAGCUAAUAUGGCUCACUGGAAUGAUGCUAUGAUCAUCGCUCUAUGGCAUAGGAACCACCAUAAUCCCAACUAUGUCAUGAAACAAAUAAGCCUGAAAUAGAAAAUCACUGACCACAUGGAUUUGGUAAGGGUUGGGCACAAUCUUUUUGUCUGCAAAAUCAAUCUCGAAGAAGACCCUGAUAAGGAAGCUGGUAUGCCAUGUAUAGGUUGCAUUGUGUUGAUCGAAACUUUUUCAUCACCGACGGACCCUUAGUCGGUGGUUUUUACUAGGUUUUCCCUCUGGUUGUAUUUCAAAGGCCUCUUGCUUGAACACUUUUCGACAACUGUUAUCUGGUUUUUAGCUUCUGAUGCUAGGGAAGUGAUCACUGUUCUACCAGAAAGAAUCAUCGAGCACGUUUAACUUCAGAGUUCUUUCGAAUUUCGGAGCCAAGUGAGCCCAAAAAACCUCAGUGAUAAUAUUUGACGGAUGUAUACCUAUAUUUCAAUAUCAGGACAUCCCCUUCUUAGUUAUUGUAGGACCCACCCCUCAGCAAACCACCUGCUGACCCGGGGUGUUACAAAAUCCUUUUACUAUUGGGAAUGCUCUAGGGUCAGAAAAUUUUGAGCCGUCACUCAUCUGUAGUGGCAAUCGUGUCGGGUCUUAACAGGUCGAUGCGUUUUUCACCUUAACCCAAACCCAACCUGUUAACCGGUUUAAGUUUAUUUGCUAAACCCAAACCGGACCUACUAAUUAAACAGGUCGGGUUCAGGUCGACCUGUUUAAACUUGGUUCUUAAACAGGUCCGGUCCAAAUUUGUCAAAACCAUUAAACCUGCAACAUGUUCAAUCUAGUAUAUGAUUUUUCAGCAACCUUCUUUUCAUUAAAAAAAAAAAAAAAUUGAUUUGAAAUGGAUAAAGUGAAAAGCUAAUGAAAUAAGGGAGAGAAACAGAAGAACAAUGAAUAAUUGAAUCCAAAUUCGUAUUGUAUAAAUUGGAUCUGGUUCAUCGUUUCUCUAAGAAUCGAUUUCCACUAGUUCCUUCUACUGUUGCUUUGAUUCCAAAAUAUAAUUACAAGAUUAACCCAUAGAAGAAGAAGGGGGAGAGAAAAAAUGUAUUUGAUGAAACACCUAACGACAAAUAGUGAGAAUUAAAGGUUUAUUGGUGAGGUUUUACUAAGUUUGAUUUUUCUUUUUCUUCAAUAUUGCAAAAGAAAAAAUGUUGAGAUGAAUGAGUCUGUUCAUCUAGUAAUGGCAGUUUCAUCGUCAAAGAGAAUACGAAUGAAUGAGAUGUUUUGUAUUUAAGUAUACUUUAAGUACACUUCACUUUGAAUGUGGUCCAUUCAUAACUUGGAACAUACAUAUGUGUUCGUACAAAAUACAUGGUGACAGUAAAGAUUAAUUUUUUUUUGUUACAUUUUCUUGUUCCAGGCAAGUACAUCUGCAGCAGGAUCUAACUCUCGUUUAAUUCAUGAAUUUGUUGAAAUGGGGUUCUCAGUGAAGAUGGUGACCCGAGCAAUUGAGGAGACUGGUACAUCAGUACAUGCACUUUUACUUUAUUUAAUAGUUAUUGGACUGUGCAUCUUAUAGCUUUGCUCAUACAACUCCUUUUUUGUAUGAUUGUGUUAUUUUGUAGGAGAUCAAAACACCGAACAGAUACUUGAAGUUCUGUUGAGAUACUCGGUGAGUUUAUAAACUAUCGAUUAUAAUAUUUAAGAUUCCAUGUUAGUACUUUGUUUUGUUUCUCUGGUGGUAAUUUUUUUCUUUUCAGCUCUUCUUGUACCUCUCCUUAAUAACGCACUAAAUCAUUAAGUUUUAUUUAGUUUUGUCUUAAAUAUGUUUAUUUUUUAUGGUUUUGACUGCAAUACCUUAUCAAAUUUAGGAUUUUUUUUGGACCUUGUUGCCAGAGACUCUUUAAAACGAGUGUUUUUGUCAAGGUAGUGUGAUUGUCACAAAUACAAUGUAUAGUCAUAUUGCUUGGGUAGCUUAAUUUUGAAAUUGAGAUCCUAUAUUCAAACGACGGUAGAGGCGUUAGCACACAAUCUUUGGUUAAUUCAUAGUACAUACUUGAGUACCACCCUUUGCAUUUUUAUUUAGGAUAUUACCUGGUUUCAACUUAUUUUCUUGUAUAUUUUCUGUCGUUAUGUGAAUAUGACUUUUUUUUACAUUGUAAUGGGACAAUUGCAGGCCACCAUUGAUAACUUUCCCUCAAAAUGUGGACCUGUUUCUUAUGAUCUACAAUCCUCAGAAAGUGAAAAUGAUUUUUUGGAUGAUCUGUCUGAUCCUGAAGCCUGUCUUGAUAAUGAGGUAGUUCAUCAUUGAAUACUGCUAAUCAUUGUCAGAUUUAGGGCUUUCCCCAUUACAAGUAUAUCGUAUAUAUUCCACAGCAAAAUACUGCUUAAUAUACAAAAUAUAUGGAGACAUGUAUGCUUUGUGAUCCUACUUAUUUUUUAUUACUUGUGUUCUUUAGAGAGUUUGUUUCAAUUUGAAAUUUUUAUUGCACACAUUCACCGUGUUUGUUCCUACAUGUAUAUCAGUAGGUAUACUUAUAUAAUUUUAGGUUAAAUAAAACUUAUUAAUCGAGACCUCAAGGGAAUGUAAUUUUGAACAUAACUGGAAAUGGUUACAGGGUGUGCUUAGACAGUAGAGUAUAGACAACCUUAGAAACUCUGGAAUUUAUCAUACAGAGCAUCUCAUAUAUCGCCUUCGGCAUAUAAGCUAAAAGAUGAUAGUUAUGCAUGAAAGUGGUAGUUGAUAUUUUACAUAGUCGGCCCUGUAACCCAUGGAAAUUUUCUUAUUAUAUCACUUGGUGUGCUGCUACCUAUCGUAUACAACAUCUUUUCUUAUCUGUUCUCGUAUAAUUAAGUAGUAUCUGUUCUCGGAUAAUUACUGAACUUUAUUGUUUGCUUAUAUAUAAAAAAAGAAAGUUUGAGAAAUACACCCCCAUAGGUUCUUGAUCUCCGUUUUAACUUGAUUUAAAGAGGAAUAAUGCAAAUACGAGAGAGUUCAUCGACUGUGUUCAAAUUAUCAGAAUUUUGUGCAGGAGGAUGCCGUACUGCGAGAAAAGGAGACAAAGUUGUUACACUUAAUUGAUAUGAAUUUCCUGGAAGACGAGGCUUCAUCAGCCAUUAAUGCAUGUGGUGUGUAUCCAACACUUAUUGUGUUGAUGAAUAUGCAUUUUUAACUUGCAUGAACACAAUCUUGGGUGAUGUUGGUAUUCUCCAGUCAAUGUGACAAACUUACUGUCAGUUAUCCAUGUUUUUAUAGUUGUUUCCUUCACAAUUCUCAUACUAUCUAUAUUUUUCAUCUUUUGCAGGUCCUGACACAUCAAUUGCAGACCUUAUAGAUUUUAUAUAUGCUUCUCAAAUAGGAAAAACAGAUGAUUUCCCUCUAUGUAAACCGCUUCAUCAGAUUCCCAAUGAUGAUGAGGUGUGCUUGUUAGACAUGCUUGUGUUUAAUAUGGAUGCUGUGUAUAUUCUUUCGAAAAUAAUGUUUGAUUCACUGCUUUCCUUUCAUAAUUUAGUACUUGCUAUAACCAUAAAUUUAUUUCUCCUAUGAGUAGUCAGCGUUGUCUUUCUUCUAUAGUUGUAUUUUUACCAUUGCAUUGAAAAGUUUGGUGGUUCAGAGAUGCUUAUUUUUAAUUAUUCCAAUGCAAUCUAUGAUUGGUAGGGUUUAACCUAUUUUGGAGCAGAUAGAGAUAAUACAGUGUAUGUAGACAAUGUACCAAGUAGAUAUAAUCUAAAUUUUUCUUCGUACUGUUCUGUUGUAGAUGCGUCCUGAUCAGAGAUGUGGAUUUCCUCCAACAGACCAGAAGAGGAAAAAGCUUUUUGCGGAAAAAUUCAAACGAAAAUUAGAAAUGGGAAGAAGUGACAGCAAGGAAUCCAAGAAGAAUCUCAAGGAAAGUAUAGAGGAACAUGAUAGAAUUCGUAUUCCAAGGCACAUGAUUGGCUUUGGGAUCCCAAAUGAGCCAAGGCCAACGUUCCAGCGAAAGCUCCCUGAGGAAGCAAUUGGUCCACCUUACUUUUAUUUUGAAAAUGUGGCUUAUACUCCAACUGGGGUUUGGGAUACAAUAUCUCGCUUCUUAUAUGAGAUUGAACCUGAAUUUGUAGACUCACUGCAUUUUUGUGCCGCUGCAAGGAAGAGAGGGUAUGUUCACAACCUCCCAGUCCAGAACAGAUACCUACUCCAACCAAUUCCCCCACUCACCAUUUAUGAAGCGUUACCAAUGACUAGAAAAUGGUGGCCAACAUGGGACCAAAGAGAGAAGUUCAACUGCAUGCGUACUUGCAUUGGUAGUGCAAAGCUUACACAAAGAAUUAAAGAAGCUCUUGAAUGCUGGGGCGGUAAUCCUCCUAUAAAGACUCAGAAAAGAGUUAUGUAUGAGUGUAAGAAAUGGAAUUUAUUGUGGAGUGGGAAAAAUAUUGCAGCACCUCUUGAACCUGACGAGUACGAGUUUAUAAUGGGAUACCCAAAGGAUCAUACUAGGGGAUUCAGUACAACAGAGAGAUAUAAAGCUGUCGGUAAUGCAUUUCAGGUUUGUGCUUCCCUCUUCCUAUGUUAUGUUUUGUACUAAUAUUAAUCAUCUACUUAGCUACAAACAAACUUGGUGCAGGUUGAUACUGUGGCUUAUCAUUUCUCUGUUUUGAAAAGCAUGUUUCCUACUGGCAUUACGGUAUUAUCUCUCUUUUCUGGAAUCGGAGGUGCUGAAAUUGCGCUGCACAGACUUGGUAUUCCAUUGAAGACUGUCGUUUCUGUAGAAAUUUCAGAGGUUAGCAGAAGUAUUUUUCGUGGUUGGUGGGAACAAACAAAUCAAAGGGGUAAUCUCAUUGAACUAGAAGAUGUACAAGAGCUGAGUACAGAUCAGCUCCAGAAGUAUAUCAACACAUAUGGUGGAUUUGAUCUAAUUGUUGGAGGUAGUCCAUGUACUAACCUUACUGGGAGCAACCUACAUCAUAGAGAUGGACUUGCAGGGAAGGAAUCGAUUCUUUUCUAUGACUUCUGGCGAGUUCUAAACACUGUCAAGUGCAUAAUGCGUAACAACAAAUGACCAUAAGACAGGUAACUGUUUACGGACGUUAUAUUUGUACGAUGAAGUAUUAUUGGCUUUUAAUUUCAUGCAUAAACUAAUACCUUUUUUUAAAUCUUUCUUUGGUCCAUUUAACACCUUGUUAUAAUGUUUGCUUAUGUUUUUAAGUUUAACACGUUGUUCUAUUGUUACUACAAGAUAGUUUAAAUAUUCGUGUGUUUCCUUCUAAGUCUUAUUGCGUCCAUCCUUGCACUAUAUAAUGAUAUGAAAGAAAGUUUGACUAUACUGUAAGACCAGUACGCCUGUAAAGCGAUUUUCCUUGAAUCCUUUUUACGACCAGUUGUAUAUUGGUUAUGCUUGUUUCUAGUUUAGUCUGGAAGUCUCGUGGUUACCAUUAGGUCAAAAUCCUGCCAACAGAACCUCUGAAUCCUGCCCAUAAUACAGGGACUUUUGAUCGUGUGGGCCUUUGCAGGGCCUAGUUAUGGAGAAGGUGCUUUGAAGGGGUAGUCAGGAAAGACAAUGGAAGGCGUGUUGCAAAAUUGAUCAGCCUUUUUUUUGUUCUGUUCAAUUAAGGGGAUACUUCUUUACAAGAAGUGACAGAUUUGGAAAUAUUAUUUGCGAGAAGACAGGAAUCAGUUUCACAGAGUAGAGAUUAGCUAUCUCUGUCGUUCGUAUUGCACAUGGUCGUUCGUAUUGCACAUGGGUUCAGAGGUCCUUGAUAUAGUUACAUUGGACUUGUGAAAAAUGAUUUGAAUUCUUUACAAAUUUUGAGUUAAUAUGGGUGCUCCAUCACUCAAAACACACACAUGAGGUACUACGCAAUUGAAACGACAAUUGCUAGCCUCGUUAGAUAGGGAGUUUUGUCAUCUCCCUUUUCUCCUACCAAACUUCUGCAACUGAUAGGAAUUGAUUUUUAAAAGCAAACUGGUAUCUUCUUUACUAUCAUAUUCUGAAUAUAUACUCAUUUUUUUCUGGAAAAAUAUAUGAACGUACCAUUGGCUAGCCUAUGUUAUAAAAAAGUACGCAUGAUUUGUGAGUUGUAAAUUCCACUGCUCGGUUUUGACCAAUGUGAGUUCGUGAGAUUUUAUAGGCACAGUUGUUCAACAACAAAGGAUUCCACCACAUGUUUCUCUCUCUCACGCACACAAAAUGUUCUUUUUCUCUUAAUUUUUUUUCGAAUCAUCUUACUUCAUAAAUGUCAUUAUGGAUAAUCAUGCACUGUGCAUGUUUUAACUUUUUUACUUUAGACAAUAAGUUUAUCUGUAGGUUUCUAGUUGCUACUUUUCUACUAUUUAAGGCAUUUUUUUUUUUUGGUCGAUAAAAGAUUUGUUUUAUUUAUUUGGAAAAUUCUACUAUUUAAGGCAUAGGUCUAGUAAGAAGAAAAUCACACAUUCUGACAAAAAAACGUCUAUUGGCAGGUGAAGUCACAAAUUUUUGGAGCAGAAUUUCAGAUGAUCGUCAAUUUUGAUGUGCAAUGAUAUCCUAAUUUAAUGUUAUUUGGGAAUAGAUUUGAUAUCUUGAAGUUUUUGACGUUGAAGUUUUGUCUGCAAGUAAUGUUAGAUGAUGGGUUGUAUUUGUGUGUAUAACAGUUGCAAAAUGCUAUAUAUUACAUCUUUCCUUUCAACCUGCAUAUUACUUGUUGACGCAGAUGCACGAUUGCACUUCUCUCUCAUUCUGGUGUUUUGGUGUUUCAAUCCGAUUCAAUCUGGUGUUUUGGUGUUUCAAUCCGAUUCACUUCUCUCUCAUUCUUCUUCAUCAAUUAGUAAUAAGAAAUUGGAGUUUUCACCAUUGGUGUUCUAGUUUUUCUAUCCGAUAUACUUAAUCCCUCCCUCAUUGUUUCCUUGCAAAAUGCAAACUAGUUAUUGAAAAUAGACAAAGAGAUAGACGCAUUAAGCAGUUAGGUAAAUUUUUUGGAGAUAAAUAGAAAUUAAUGUAUUAAUUAGUGAUAAUUUCAUUGUUAACUUGUGGAGUAUAUGUACACUAGAUAUGACCCGUCCCUAUGGGAUGCUUAUUUUUAAUUAUAGUUAAAAUUACUAAUUUUGAAGGCACACAUUUUUAAAGGAAGUACUGAUUUUGAACUUUGCACACAUUUUUAAAGGAUCAAAAUGGACAGUUGACUGUUCAAUUGAUUCAGAAAACAAUUGUAACUUUUUUUGUCAUGUAUUUACUAUUUUUUUUUCAAGGUUGAUAUUAUUGCAAAAUGUGAAAUUAUACACUGCUAUUAGCCUAUUUUAUGUGAGAUUACAUUAGAAAAAGGGGUAAUAUACUACCAUCCUGGUCAGCAUAUGUAGUUACGUAUAUCAUCAGGUGAAUAGAAAGAAAACAGAAUACACGACCUGAAUGAAUAUAUCUUUAUUCAACAGCUUAGUUAUUUCCUUGGUUGAGGUCUCUUCACAGCUUCUGAAACUCUGUGUGAAAUUUAAAGACCAGGUUCUUGUGUUCGCUGUCAGAUUCAUAUGCCCCGUUAAUUAAAUUGAUGCAGUGAUAUACAUAUCACAAAUUAUGUGUUUAUUUGUUUUCUUAUAUUUUCAGAGAUUGCAUUUAUCAUUCUCAUAAGCCAUUGGUGACAGCAUGCAUUAUAUCAGUGACUAAUGGGGGCUAAAUCUUUAACAGGCAAUCAUUAAGCCUCAAUAUGUUGACCACAUUCCAAAGGCAGGGCAAGGAAAUGUUGGGUUGGUUCUAGACCAAAAAGAUGAGAGAAACAUGAAGGCUGAACUGUGUAAGGAUCUUGAUUUAAAUCAGGUCAUUGAUCGAAAUGUGGGUGAUCUAUUAGGACUUUAGGAGGUCGAAAAGCAUGUGAGAUUUGCUAUUGUCGUGGUUGCUAUACAGAAUGUAGAGAUAUAUAUGUUUGAUGAGCCUUCAAGUUAUCUUGAUGUUAAGCAAAAACAUAAAGCUGCUCGGGUUGUUCGAUUCUUGCCUAGACCUGUCAGGGAAUGUUCCUGUAGUUUUUGACUAUGCAUAAGCAACAUUUUUUAUCCUACUUUUAUCAUAUGAGUUGACAUCAAUAUAAGAGUCCCUUUUUUUUUUCUCUUCAGCUAUGUGAUUGUUGUGGAGCAUGACCUGAGCGUCCUACAUUACUUGUCAGACAUUACAUGCUGGUUAUAUGGAAAGCCUGGAACGUAUGGAGUUGCUCUUCCUUUCUCUGUUAGAGAAUGAAUCAACAUCUUCUUGGAUGAGUUUGUCCCCACUGAGAUUUUACGAUUCACUUACAUUUAAGGUGAGUCUGUGACAAUGCAUUGCAGGUAGGACUUGUGGAUUGCUUCUUAAGUUCUUUAGUAAAGAAUUUCUUUCCUUCUUCAGGUUGCGAAGACUCCUUAAGAAAGUGUUGAAAAAAUUUAGACAUAUAUAUGCACGAUAUAGAUACCCAACAAUGAGUAAAACUUAGGAAAAUUUUAGGCUUCGUGUCAGUAAAGGUGAAUUUACUGAUUUUCAAAUAACUGCCAUGUUUGGUGAGAAUGGAACGGGAAACACAACCUUCAUUCAUAUGUUUUUUUUUAAUAAUCAGUCUUCAUUCAUAUGUUGGUAUCCUGGAAUACUUGUUCUUUUCAUGUAUUUAUGGCAAUUUGAAGCUCUUCCAAUUUUAGAAAUUAAAUUGUUGCAUGACCUGAAACAAAUGUAUCCUCAUUAUGUUGUUAUGGCAGGCUGGUUUAUUGAAGGCUGACCUUGUGGAAUUCAAAUAUUUUUCACCAUGUGAUGGUGAAAACAUUGAACUGCAAAAUGCUUGGAAAAUACAUAUGAAUGAUAUGUGACGGUGAAAAAUAUUAAGCAUUGCACGAAAGAAUAUAUGUUCGCUUUUCUCCCCACCUAAAAAGAAAUCUCAAACUUCUCUCCAAAAGUGUACCCCCAAGAAAUGACAACAAUUGGAAAUAUAACUAAAUCCUAAUAACAAACACCAAUUACCAACAUCACCAAUAACAUUAGGAGAAGAAUCUGAAUCUAAAUAUUUCAUAGAUUCUUUUCACUCAUCCCUUCCAACAUUCACAAACCAAAGUGACUUUUUUUUUUUUUCGAUAAGAAACAUUUUAUUAAUAAAGAAUGUGGCGAAGUACACACCUGAUUAACAUACACCAGUAGUGUAUUGUCAGAUUAACCCUAUAGAGAACAUAGUACAUUAAUUAGGAGUGUAUAUUUCUCUUCAUGUUGUUAUCCCAUUGAUCCAAUAGCUCAUUCUAUUCCUGUCUUCUCUGUCGCAGCUACGAACCUAGCCAAUACCAAACUGUCGUUUUGACCUCCAUAAUGAUCUUUUGAAACUGGCUUGCUUCUGAAAAAGUUUUCAUUCCGGUUCUUCCAUGUCAUCCAAAUUAUGGCAUAUGGAAGCACUUGCCAUACCCUUACUGCAAUUUCAUGUCCAAGCGGCCGGGCCAUCAACCAUUCCUCCAAAGAGUAAGUAAUGAACAGAGAAUGGAAGAUUUAUGAUAAUGAAAUGGUAAGGUUCUUCCAUACCUCAAGGGAAACCAAGUAGUGGAGGUAGAGGUGCACAUUUGUUUCAUUAAUUGAAUCACAAACCUGACAUAUUGACGGUAGUUGUUGGCCACUCUACUUGUAGACGAAAGAGUGGGAAUCGGAUCAACGCAUCAUUGAAAACUGAUUGUCUAUAUUAUCUAAACUUUUGCUUCGGUUGUUCAGUGUCACCAGGCCAUUUUCGAUGCACCCACAACACGAUUAACUGCAUCGAUCUCUUUGCAUACCAAUGCUCUAAGAAGUCUCUACAAAAUGAAGUGAAAACUAAGUAAAAAACUUCAAUCCAUUUCCAUUUCAGAUUUUAUGCCUGCCUACCUAUCAUACUAGCUUAGGCGCACAAAUCUAUAUGGGUGUGCUCAAUGCAGCAAAAAGAGUUUCCAAAUGACACAAUAGCUAUUAAUAAGUGAUGUCAUGGGCAUUCUCAAUUUCGCAUAUUUUCUGGUAUGCAGGUGGUAUAGAUAUAAGGGUACUGGUGGUGUCGCCAUUGAAUUGGCCAACGAAUCAACACCUAUUGAGAAGCAACGUAUAUUGUGAAAUUGACGACACUCUCAGUGAUUAUGUUUUCUGCAGUCUUUUUGUGUGCGCGUGUGUAACUCUUCUGCAAUUGAUCCUAAGGUUUCCGAAGGUGAUGAAUGGAUGUAUUACAUAUUUGCAUUGUGUUAGGUAAGGAAAUGGAAUAGUAAAAAAAGGUUUCUUGUCAAAAGUAAGAUUGGAUUACUUUGUUACUUGUUUGUUUCCUUGGGCAUUCUCAAUUUCGGAUAGAUAUUCUUUAAGGUCUUUCCCGGAGUUUUUAUUUUCUUUUCUGUAAUGUCACCUGCCUUAUAAAAGGCUAAUUUGUAAGAACAGGUAAAGAUUGGUAUAGCUAUGUAAUUGGGGUUCGAUGCUGAGAUAACAAAUCAACAACCCACAUGUUAGUAAGACUGUAGAAAUUGCAGGUCUGGUGGUCAACUGGCCAUAGUAAUUGAGUUCAGCUGUGGACCUUCUAAAAAACUCUCUCCAUCUCAGUUUUCACUGUCAUUUUAUUUUUAUACGUAGUUUUUAUGACCUACAGAUGUCUGAAUUUUCAUAGAUAUGACAUUUUCUUGAGCUACUGAAAUUUGAAUCUUAUUAUGACAUCUGAUGUGUCCCAAAUGAAACAUGUCAAGUUCGACAAAGUAUUAGACCAUCAAUUAGGAGUUAAGUAAAUUAAGAGGUAGUUCUGAUUUGUUACAAACAAUACUCCUCAAACUGUGUAUUGUUAAAAAAGUAGGAUGUGUAGAUACCUUGUUAAUAGCUUAGGUAUUUACAUGGUAUCACCAUUUAAAGUGAAUUCAUUUUGUGAUAUUUAAAAUCUUACUGUUAGAUCUAAGCUACACAAAACGAACUUGAUCCGCCAGUUUAUGUUUUCUCUCAAGCAAAGAAUUAUAAAAAGUUUUUAAGUCAGAUAGAAAUUCGCAAGACGUUCAUGUAAUUCAAAAAGUUUAACACAUUAGUGAAUACCAAUUUAUUUGAGAACAUAAUCAGUACCUCGCAAAGAUGAAUCUAUAUUGCAGAGGCUGCAUAACUCUAAUUACGCAACAAAAAUUGUUUGAGAGAGUUCUAUCCCUGCAAUAUAAGGAGUUGUGUGGAAAAUUUAUCAAUCCACUAAUUAAUACUAAAAGUUCAUGAAUUUUGAAGCAGAUGUAUGAAUCCCAAUAUGGGUUCUGCCACAUGGCCCCGAAGAAUUGAUUUACAUUCAUUAUAACCUUCCCAAUAGGCUAUACCUGUGGCUGUGCUUUAAUUUGGGAAGUAGAAUGUUAUGCCAUAGGUUAUACAUACCUGUGGUAUAACACUAAAGAGACGAAAAAAAAUAGCUAAUGGUGCAUCAUCUCUGCUUUGAAUGGAUUUUCAGAAUUGGAAUAAUGCCUAUUACCAUUUUAAUUGUCCAAACCUGAAAAAGUAAAGAGAAGCUAAUGCUAAACCAUAUUCAUGCUUAUCAAGACAAAAAAAAAAAUAAAAUUAGACUUGUUUAUGCUAAACCUUAUUCAUUAUACUAUGACACUGACAUGCUUAUUAAGACUGACAGUGAUAUCUCACAACAGGUUCGGCAUUUGUAAUCAUAACAUUUUCAAUCAAUUUCGGGUACAACAUUUGUACUGUUCCUAAAUUUUUUUUAUGUGCAGGUGCAGAAAGGUAUAGAAGGCAAAGAGAUUAUGCAUCAUUGUGUAGAUGACAAAGAGAUUAUUAUAACGGGAGAUGAGAGGAGGGGUAUGGAACAGGGAGUUCAAAGAAGGAUGUAUGCAAAUUAAUGGAUAACCCGAAUAACUUACAAACAAAUUGUAAUUGAAUCCAUGUUCGACAUCUACGUCCACAUCCUCAUUCUCAUACUGCAAAAAUAAAAAAUUAAAACCUGCAAAAGUCAGUAAGCAAAAAUACAAUAAUGCCUUCUUGUCAAUAGUUCAAUUCUAAUCCUAUUAACAUACAAGGAUGAUACCAGGUUCAUAUCAGCUCGUGGAGAUCACAAUAUAUUCUAAUUGUACUGUGGACUAAACACAUAUAAUUAGAUUAGCAGAAGAAAAAUCUAAUAUAUUAUAACCUGCACUUAUAAAACUUGGUAAAAAGACAAACAAGGGUCAAGAUUUGCACAGGAGAUUUUAAAGAUUGGGUUUAAUGAGAUUCAUUUUAGAUGGUUAGGAUUAAUUAUAUGGUUCAAUGCAUAUCCUAAGAAAAUCCUUAUUAAUAUGAUUUAAUAAGUAGUUAAGUACGUCUCUCUCAACUCUAUGCUUUUCUCUCUCUCUUAACUCUACGGCUUUCCAUUGUCCUCUUCCGUUUAGAACUCUAUGUUUUUCUCUCUCUCUUCCAUUGUCCUCUUCCUCAGCAGUAACAUCACAAAUACACAAAUACUUUCAUCAUUGGUAACAAAUCACUCUCCCAUUCUUUUCUCCCUCAUUUAAUUCCAGGUAUUUGUAUGUUUAAUUGUAUGUCUGCAACCAACAUUUUCAGAUAGUUCAUCUAAAUACCUUCAACUGAGGACAACCAAAUUAGAUUAAUCCUAACCAAUUACAACUUAAACUAAUCUAAUUUGGUUGUCCUCAAGCAGUUACCCCGUAAAUACCUUCGGGCUGAAAAGAUGUUUUGAACUCUGAUCGAUAUUGUUGAUUUGAAGUUUGUUUUUUGAAUUUUGGACUUGAACACGUGGCUGCCAUGCAUUCCUGUUUCGUACCAUCAUUACGGUUUACGGGGAAGUGGAGAAGUUUCCUCAAGCAGUUACCCCGUAAAGUUUUGGCAACUGAAACACUCCUUGAUUGAUGGCCCUUUGUUGGACACGUGGAUUGAUCCAACGGUGGAUCUGAAUCGUCGGGCUAGUGGGUAAUAACUCCAAAGGUCGUGGUUGUCUAUGUGUGAUCUUGCCCGUUGAUUUGAAUUGAAUCGAUGGCUGGGAUCUCUUCUCUAUUGGUAUUUAAGCUGUAGCUUCCUAUCAAAGUUUCUUACUUUCUUCAUUUGCUCUCUCGAACUGCUGCUGCUUUCUGGUUGUGACCUGAAGAUCUUGAGAGUUCUUGAGGUGAGUUCCUUCUGCUUUAUUCUUUACUUCAUUGCUUUGUUUCAUUUUCCUUCAUUUGCUUCCAUAUUGAGAGAUGUCGGAUGGUAGCGACUCUCAAAAUGACCAUUUGAGUGGAGAUGGUGUUGGUGAGUACGAGUCUGAAGAUGAACGGACUCAUUCUGGUGACGAUGCUUGCUCCCCUGAGAGAGAGGAGGAGUGUUUAGAUGAAGGUAGCCCUGGAAGUAGUGGUCCUCAUGGGAAGGAUUCUUCUGAUGACGAGAUGGUGGAGGGCGAGAAUAACUCGUUUUGCCAUGUAGUUAACCUAUCUUAUGUGAAGAGGCACAUCGCUUUUAGGAAGAGAUAUGGGUUGGAUUCCAUUAGGCAUCUUGAAAUUAGGUUUUUGGAAGACCGUUUACUCUUAGAGGAGUAUCGACCUAAUAACUCGUUUUCCACAGUUUUCACUUUGGCCCAGUUCCGAGCUGGGCUUAGGUUACUCCUUUCUUGUUUGGUAGUCGACCUCUUGAAUGCUAUCAGACGAGCUCCUUGCCAGAUGAACGGUAAUUUCUGGAGGAACAUGAGGGUUAUAGAUGACCUUAACAGAUUGCAUAGGUGGAAUGUUACCGUAAAGGAUGUGUUGGGUCACUUCUGUUUCAAGCGAUCUGCGAAGCUGGAGGUGGGGGGUUAUAAUAUGCAGGUCAGGCCUAGGGAUGUUCACGGGUUGGUUCGGGGCCGGGUACCCCUAUCUCCGUCCCCAUCCCCAUUUAGGUUUUUAGUCUCCAUCCCCGUCCAUUUCCCCGUUUAAGACUAUUCGGGGAUCCCCAUCCCCACCUCCAAUGGGGAUCGGUUCUCCGCGGGGCUCCAUUUAUAGUUUUAGAUAAUCAAAUAAUAAUAAUAAUAAUAAUAAUAAUGACUAUUCAUAAAUUUAAAUUAUCAUAAUAAUAUCUUAAAUUACAAUUUCAAGUUAAAACCUUCAACUAAAUUUAAUCCAAACAAAAUACAAGCUUGAAAUCUUGAACACGCGGCCACAAAGUCUAAAAAAAAAAAAAAUCAAAAAUUACAUUGUCAAAUUAUAGUCUAUAUUAGUUAAUUUUUAAAUUUAAGUAUAUAAUCGGGUCGGGUCCGGGUUUGGAGACCAUAAUAUCCGUCCCCGCUCCAAAACUUAAUCGGGCUUCAAAAUGACCUCCAUACCCACCCGAUCCCCAUUUAUACCCCUCCAUAUCCGCCCCAUUCGGGUCGGUUCUCCGCGGAGACCCGCCUCCACGGGUUUUUACAUCCCUAGUCAGGCCAGAUCGCCUGUCCUUGACUUACCCCGUGAGUAGUGAGCCAUUGUGAAAGGAGCCCAUGUUGCUUACAGGUCAGAUAACUGAAGGGAAUCUUCAUUUAUCUCAUGUUACCAGGAAUGUGAAUGAUAAUCGUAAGCUCCUGGUCGUUGGUCUUUAGAUCGUUGUUGGGUGAUCUAUUUGCCUUUGUUUAUUUAUGGUCCUUGACUUGCUUUGUUUAUUUUGUAGCGAUCAGGGACGACCAUCUUGUCAAGAAAAAUGACCUGAAAUCUUCUUUUAACGUUUUUGGGUCUUGGACUGACUAGCGAAAGAUAAAGUUUCUUCCUCAUCUGAAGGAUUAUUUUAUUCCCAAGGGUGGUCCCAAGACUGUUGCGGACGAGCUGGAGAGGAGGAGAGUGUUGAAGAAAAACUUCAUGAGUUCGGUGCAGAAAGCUAGCUUGAGUGAGAAGUCUCGAUCUGGUACCAGCUCGAGGCAGAAUGAUCCAAUUGCGAGCCCCCAGAUCGUUUCCCCUCCGACCUCUCUACCCAAGCUACCUUCCGGCUCGAGCAAGAAGAGGUCGUUCUCUGGGAACCUGAAGUUGAUGGAGCCGCCACCAAGCAUAACUUCCCCUGUUCCUCUGAAAGCCUUGCGAGCUCCUGACCCUACUCCCUUGUCUAGGAAGACUAUUGUUCGCCACUCGAGCAAGGGCAAGGGGGAAUAUAUAGCUAUUGGUCCGGUCUCGGUUCUUGUUUUUAUAGAACCGAGAGAACCGAACCGAACCGAAAUAAAUAAAAAAACAUUUUUUUUAUUAGUAAAUUACUAAACUAGACAUAGGAAUUAGGAAACCUAUGGUGGAUCCAUGGUUGGUUCAUUGGUUUUGGACCUUUUUCCUAUUUAGUACUUGAUUUGGUGUAUGUCUUAUUUUGUUUAAAGCCCAAAACUUAAAAAAAAUCAUUUAAAUUGUAGUGGACUAAUAAAAAAGCCCAAGCCCAAUAAAAAAGCCCAGGACCGAGUUUCGGACCGAAACCGAACCGAUUGUAUUUGGUCCGGUUCGGUCCGGUUACAUUCAAAUAAUUUCGGUCCAUGGAACCGAAACCGAACCGAUAUUUUCAAGUCGGUUUGGUCCCGGUCCUAUUACAUUUUAGGACCGGACCGGACCGUGCCCACCCCUAGCAGCCACCAAGCAUAACUUCCCCUGUUCCUCUGAAAGCCUUGCGAGCUCCUGACCCUACUCCCUUGUCUAGGAAGACUAUUGUUCGCCACUCGAGCAAGGGCAAGGGGGUUUCAUCUGAAUUUCGACCUGGCCCUUUCGACUAUCUGGACGGCCAGGGAGGUAAACACGUUGUCUAUGACAAUGAUAGUGCUAUAGAUCACCCCCUGUGUUGCCCGAGCUGUUAACGAGGGUAUUGUUCUUGAGGCUGACGCUCGCAUGGUGAAGUCGCAGAGUCUUCUUGUGACUUGCUCCAAGAUAAAUUCUGCUCUUUCUCUGGUAAGCUGAGUUUAGAUUCACGUUUGAGACUAACUUUGGAAAUUGUAUCCUUUAACCAUUGUUUUGUGCAGCUCAACGCUAGCUUCCAGGAGGUCCGUCUGGUCGCUGAGGUUGGCGCGAGGGCUGAGAUCGAGCUGAAGCAUCUGGACGAGAAGCUCGAGCAGGCUAAAAACAUUGCUGUUAUUGCUGAGACGAAGGUGAGGGACAGGGAUGGGGAGAUUGUAGCGCUGAAGGAGAUGAUAGAGGGUCUUAGAGGUGAGGUUACUGCUGCUAAGGACUCUGCGACGUACUGGGAGGGCGCGUGCCGAAAGAAUGGUGCUGAAUGGCAGGCGUACUGUGAGAACCUCAAGAACCAACUGCUGGGGUCGCCCUAAGGAGAGGAGACACUAGUUGGUGACGAGGUCGCUCUAGUCCCAACGUAGGACGCCUCGAUGGGCCCUGGAGAUGGGGUAGAAGGACUCUAGAACGAGCUGGUCGAGCCAGACGAGCGGACUUCGCAGCAGUGACCUUCUCUCUGUCUUCAGUGAUUCCUGGUGUUUUCUUGUUCUUGUAUGCAUUCCUCACUGCUGGGCAGUACAUCUCCUUCUUCUUCUCACGUUCAGUCUUCAUCUUCUUCUCACGUUCAGUGUUCAGCUCGAGUGGUUGUGAGGUUUAGCUAGAUGGUCUUGAAUGCUAUUUUGAUGGGUUAUAAUCAUAAACACUAGUGAUCGAUCUGCUUCGGCAGAUCGAUUGCGCCUUUAUUUUCUGCAUUUAUAUUCCUUGUUGUGGAUAAUGUAAACUGUCGCAUUUGGGCGACUAGUUUCCAGGGAGUCCUGGUAGCUCGUUCAGAAGGCAGGUAGACGAGAUGAAUGGCUGCAAGCAGGGCGGACUGAAAUGCUUCCUCUUGUAUGCUUUAGUUAAAUGAAUUUGUUUUUUUCUUCUCGUCGUUGUAGUUUGCCUUGGUUUUGCAGGUAGCUUCUCUCUUGCAAGCUGGAUAUGUGGAAUGUUGGCACAGCCCCCAAGUAGUUUAGGUCGAUGUAAUAGAUCGUUUUUCCUGUAAUAGUUAAGCUUUUGAAGUAAAUAAAUAAAAUGAAAUUUCACUUGUUUACCUUGCUCGCCUCUAUUUUAUUUGCAUUGUCUACUUGUAUUGAUUCGCAAACACCAAAUAGUAAGUCAAAAUCUCGACCUGUUCUAGGAUUUGGUCGGUUGAGUAUGUACUUUACUUAGGUCGUGGGAUAGUUAUGACCUAAGUAAGGAGUGUUAGUUGGAUUACAGAUGUCAACUUAACACUUAAAAAUUAUCAAAGGGACUUGAGGAUUGAUAAUUUGAAGGUCUGGGGAUUGAGUUAGACCUAUUCAAGCUAUUCAUGUUUGAACUGAAAUGAAGGCAAAAUUGAGCUCGGUUAUUGAAAUAUGAGAAUCCAUCCUUACAUUUUACUGGUAAAACUUCUUCAAAUGAUAAGCAUUUCAUGGAUUCUUCACAUCUCCCCCUUCUGGAGUUUGAAGGCGAUAAGAUCCAUUGCUUUGGACCUUUGUGAUGAUGUAAGGACCUUCCCAUUUGGCGUUGAGUUUUCCAACAUUUGCAUUUCUUUUAUUGUGGAACAUUUUUCUUAAUACGAGCUCGCCUGGUUGAAAAGAUUGAGGUCGGACGCCUUUGUUAUAAGCUCGUUUAAGCCUUUGUUGGUAUUGCUCGAGCUUAAUGGUGGUGUGGUUUCUCCUUUCUUCAACCAGAUCUAUUCCGAACGACCAGGCUUGGUUAUUGAGCUCGGUAUUGACCAGUAGUGACUUGGUCGUGCCAAAUGUCAGGUCAGUUGGAAUAACAACUUCUACUCCAUAGCAAAGGCUAAAUGGAGACAUUCCUGUUGAUGUUCGAUGAGUUGUUCUGUAGGCCCAGAGGAUGUUUUCUAGCUGCUGUGGCCAUUGGUCUUCCUGAUCUUCAAGUUUUUUCUUCAAGUUAGAUAGAAUUUGCCUGUUCGCAGCUUCGACCUAACCAUUGCUUUGUGGAUAUCGAGGCGUCGAUCUAGAGUGCUCGAUUUUCCAUAGUGCAUAGAAAGCCUUAAUGUUUUUUCCCACGAACUGGGUUCCGUUGUCAGUAACUAUUCUCUUGGGCAAACCAAAUCUUGUGAUUAUGUUUUCCCACAUAAAUCGUUGCACAUCUGCUUGAGUAAUGUUGGUGAGUGCGACGGCCUCUACCCAUUUGGUGAAGUAAUCAACCGCGACUAGAACAUAUCUUUUCUCAGAUUUCUUUUCUUUUAUUAAUGGGCCCAUGAUGUCGAGCCCCCACAUGUGAAAUGGCCAGGGAACAGUGAUGUUGAUGAGGUCGUUGGGAUGCUGAUGCGCGUGGUCGGCAAAACGUUGACACUCCUUACACUUUAACACAAACAUUUUUGCAUCUUCCUUCAUUCUUGGCCAGAAAUAUCCUUGCGAGAUCGCUUUAUGAGCAAGUGUGCGACCUCUUGAGUGAUUUCCACAUUCUCCCUCUCGAAUCUCCUGGAAGAUGAUUUGUCCAUGCUUGGGAAUUAGACAUCUUAGGAGCAGGCCAGUUGCAGAUUUUCUAAAUAACUUUCCCUCAUGUAGCCUGUACAUAAUGACAUUAUGUAAUAACUGGCUGGCCUCCUUCUUAUUUGGUGGGAGCUCGCCAGUUUGCAAGUAAUUGAUGAAGGGUUCCAUCCAGGUUCCCUUGAUAUCUUCUGAGGUCGUGGCGAGUAGGUCGCUUAUUUGGUUGACCACUUCCUUCUUUAGUAGAUACGCAGGCAGCGUACUUAUUGCUAUGGUUAGAGCUCGAGGUCGAUCUGACUCGACCUUGGAUGCUAAGAAUGCUAGUGAGUCAGCAUGUCUGUUAUCAUCCCUUGGAAUGUGGUUGAUGGUAAAGAAACUGAAUUUGCUGAUUAGCUCCUUUGCCUUGCUUGCAUAUCUUAUCAAAUUGACUCCAUGUAUUUGGUAAUUGUUUGUAAUCUGAUUUACUACCAGUUGCGAAUCGCUGAACGCUUUGAGUCGAACUGCUUGUAGGUUGAUUGCCAUUUGUAGACCUUGGAUUAGAGCUUCAUAUUCGACUUCAUUGUUAGAGGUCGAGAAGUCUAACCGAGUUGACCUUUCGAAUUUUGAGCCCUCAGGUGAAAUGAGUACGGCACCGAUGCCACUUCCAUUCGAGUUGUGUGAACCAUCAACGUAGAGUCGCCAAGUGUCUAGUGGAUCGACUUGGAUUUGUCUGGUUUCUGGUUCUGGUUCCCAGCUGAAAUCUUCGGCAGGGUAGUCUGCUAAGAAAUCAGCUACGACCUGGCCCUUGACGGCCUGGCGAGGUACGAACUCAAAUGUGUAAUCACCGAGCUCAGCUGCCCAUCGAGCCAUACGACCUAUUUUGUUCUUCUUUUCUAGUAUGUGUCGUAGUGGCUGAUCGGUGAUUACUUUAACGGUGUGUGCUUGGAAAUAAGGUCUAAACUUGCAUGCAGCGUAAAGAAGAGCUAAUGCUAACUUUUCUAGAGGUGUGUACCUUAUUUCAGCUUGUUGCAACACCUUGCUUGUGAGUUGCUUGUGAGGUAGAUUGGUCGCUCGACCUGAUUUUUUUCCUUGAACAGUAUUGCGCUGAUCGCAAAAUCUGAAGUGGCGAGGUAAAUUCUGAGCACAUUUCCAUCAUUAGGCUUCGUGAGAACUGGUGGAGUGGAUAAGUAUGCCUUCAGCUCGGCAAAGGCUUUUUCGCAUUCUUCUGUCCAUUGAUAUGCAACCCCCUUUCUAAGAAUAUGAAGCAUUGGUCGACACUUAUCGGAUGCUCUAGAAAUGAAUCUAUUAAGAGCUGAUACCAUGCCGUUAAGUUUUUGGAUUUGCUUAUUUGUCUUCGGGCUGGGCAUAUCAAUCAGGGCUCUGAUCUGGUCGGGGUUUGCUUCAAUACCCCUCUUUGUAACUAGGUAACCAAGAAAUUUCCCUGAUGCUACUCCGAAUAGACAUUUUUCUGGGUUAAGUCUCAUCCUGAAUUGUCUUAACCUUUGAAAUGCUUGAUCGAGAUUGGCCAAAUGAUCUUGCUUGAGCCUGCUUUUUACCAACAUGUCGUCAAUGUAGACCUCCAUUGUCCGACCUAGUAGAUCGUCGAACAUUUUUGUGACGAGUGGGAAUGAAUCUUUAGGGCAAGCUUUAUUCAAGCUUGUGAAGUCGAUGCAGACUCUUAUUUUCCAGUUCUUCUUUAAAAUUGGAACUAUGUUGGCCAACCAAUCUGGUGUGUCAACUUCCUUGAUGAACCUGACUUGUUUGAGUCUACUAAUUUCAUCAUUGACUGCUUGAUAAAAUUUUGGGGCGAGUCUUCUUGGUUUUUGCUUGACGGGUCGAUAACUUGGAUUUACUCGUAGUUUAUGACAUGCUAUUGAUGGGUCUAUUCCAGGAAUAUCAAUGUACGACCAAGCAAAAACAUCUUUAUUUAGAGAAAGAAAGUUUACAAAGUCGUUAUACUUAUCUUCCCCUAAUUCCGAGCCCACAUAAACAUAUUUUGGGUUGUCCUCUGACCCUAGGUUCACUCGCACUCCUGGAUCUGUGCUUCCAAGUGAUAGUUGGGGGGAGCUCGCUUGCUCCUGCUCUAGUUGCUAUUUGGCUACUUCAGCCUUUCCCUUUGAUGGGCUCUUUGCUUGUUUCUCGACCUCUUUGGCUUAUGAGGUCGGUGGACUCUUUACCUGCUUCUCAGCGUCCUUGGUUCCUGAGGUGGAUGGCCUAUCAGACGCCACGGCUUCAAUAAUUCCAUGGCACUCUUGAGCAGCGUUCUGAUUGCCCCUAAGCUCCAUUAUCCCGUUGGGGCCAGGAUAACGGAACACUUGAUGGUACGUUGAUGGUACACCUCGCAUGGCAUGGAUCAGACCAAGUAUCGCAUUAUACUUACUUGCGAUGUUUAGGAUGCUGAACUUUGCUGUUACAACAACCUUACCUUCUUUCCUGCCCACAGUGAUGGGCAACAAUAUUUCUCCCUUUGGGUCCUCUCUCGAGCUGUUGAAGCCCAAGAUUGGAGUGAAAUCCGGAAUGAGGACUGAAUCGGGAAGCCUCAUAUCCUUGAAAGUCCUGUACAUCAGUAUGUUACAGGAUGCACCUGGGUCAAUGAGGACCCUCUUGACAAUGUAGUCAGCAAUUCUUAACUCGACGACCAGAGCAUCGUUGUGUGGUGUAACGACCUUGUUUAGGUCGUCCUCAGUGAAGCUCAGAUCUGUUUCCUGCUGGGCUGGAAUGUUAGUUCGAGCUGCUCGGUCUGUGAUGGAGUAGACAUGAUGGAGGUGUUCUACUCGCCUUUUCUUCUCUCGAGAUAUUGGAGUGGAGUUGGACUCAUAGAUCAUGUAUACGACAUGACUCUCUGUUUCACUGUCAUCAUCUAUCUUGUUUGCGACCUGCUUGUUGAUUUGGUCGCGUAGGUCGCCUGUUGGACCUAGUCUUCUUGAGAGGUUACACCCUCUGCUGCGUGCUGGACUUGUGGAGGCCGUUCUGGCCUUGCUCUGAGAUCGUUUUUCAGAACGUGUGGGUGUUCUAGAUCUCUUCUUCAUUCUCUUCUCACUGGACCCUUCUUGCUUGCCGUAGAUCCAGUUAUUGAGCCUUUUCUCAUCGGCCCAUGUCUGAAGAGCUCGCUUCAGUAUACGGCAAUCAUCUGUUUGAUGGCAUCUGACUUUGUGGACCUUGCAAUAUGGAUGACCAAAUGUGUCCUCCAAUUGUGUGAAGUCUAGAAUCUUGCACCAAUGGUUGUGCUUAAUGCGCUCAUAGAUAUACCCUGUUGGUCUUGUGAAUCGGUGGUACUCACGUUGCUCUGUGGGCAACGCCUUAGCUUUGAACCUUUUGUUGUCUGAUCGAGGUCUUUUAGUGGAGCAUCCUUCCACGUUUGAAAUGACAUGACUUUUUUCCCUACCUACUAGGGCUUCUUCUAACUUGAUGUAAUGAUCUACCUUGAGGUAGAGCUCGUCUAGAGAUGCUGGCCGCUUCAUGGCCAAAGACUUGGGGAGAUCUGAUCCCUGUAUCAGACCGUGAGUAAUUUUGCUAUCAAAUUUGGGAAGCUAGACAAUUGAAAUGAAUCUUCUUUGUUGGAACAUUUGUGACUGUCAAUCAAUCAAAUGCUAUCCUCUAAUAACACCAUAGAAUUAUUCGAUCAAAAUUUAAGUAUUUAGCACAGUUGGAUUGUGUUUCUUUUUUUACAAUUGACUUCCAUACGGCUAUAAAAUUUAAGUUAUUUUCUAUUUCCUCUAAAACUUUAAGAGUCUUGCUACUUCAUCUUACAAAAUCCAUUUCCUGAUAUGUUUAUUUAUCUUACAAACUGUAGGCUCUGUCCAAGGAAAAACACUUUGUAACUUAUAAAAAAAAUAAUUUAUUCUUCUUCACACCAAUAUAAAUUUGAACGCAUCGAUUGUUCCCUUUCACAGUUUCACAUUGUCUCCUUUAUCUUUGCAUAUAUUGACCUUGUUUAGCCUCAUUUAACUCUUCAAUGCCUUUUUGCCGCUUUGAUUCACUUGACUUACUAUGAAACUGAAUUGUCUGUUCAACAUAAAAAAACAUAACUACUUCAGCAAACAUAUCCAAAACAUAACUGUUCCUUCGUUAAACCACUUAAAACAGUUUCGCCUCUAAAUAAAGCAGGCCCUAAACCUUUAUGAAUUGUACUAAUUGGACAAAAUCCAUGUCUUUAUUAGCACACUGUGCAUUCCAAAUUGCAGACUGAAAAUUAAAAAACAUUCAAUACAAAUCAUGUAAAAAAUCCAUCUUUGAUGAUGUUUAUUAAGAAUUUGAUGAUAAUGAUUGAACUUGAAUUGUUAACAAAAACUACAAGAGUAGAUAAUUAGUUUACCAGAAUGAGUGAGGCGUGAGAUUAUUGUGAACAAAAACUAUGGAAUUAGAGUUAAGCAGAAACUAUGCAAUUAUAGAUUGUAAGAGAAGAGAUAGGUUUAUUUGAUUGAAGGUUUAAGAGAAAAGAAGGGUUUAUGUGAUUCAAAGGAUGAGAGACGCAAGGGAGAGAGAGAUAUCUUAAGAAAAAAUAAAAUAAAAUAAAAUAUAUUUUCCCUCUUCCACCACCGCCAGUAACAUUCUCCCUCUUCCACCACCGCCAGUAACAUUCUUGUCCAACUCCCCACCAACCAGGCCACCAUUAACCCACUGAAUCGCAAUUUAGCUCAAAUCAAAGCCGAGCCGACUCAAGCCACCAGCCGAGUCAGAUCAGCAGCUCAAGCCAGUCAGCCAGACCAGUUAAACCAGCAGCCAGACCAGCCAAACCGGUAGCCAGACCAGCAGCCAGACCAGCUGUUCAAGCCAGCCAAGCCAAAAAAAAAAAAAAAAAAAAAAAUUGGCUGCUUGAUGGAGAGUAUCCAUUGUCCAUUUUGAAAUUUUGAUGGAUGCACCAAAGGACCGUGUGGAAAUGGAUACAAAUCUUCGUACAUCCUAACGCAUGUUAAGAAAGAUCACUUGAAUAUGGUUAAUGACAUCGACAGGCUGAGAGAUGCGAUCAAAGUUGAUAUAGGUUUAUUUUCGUCGCUUGACAAUACUUUGAAGAGGAUGAACAAAUGGAUGUGUGGUGAUUGUUUUGGUAUCCAUGCAUCGACCAUAAAAUGUAAACAUCCGGAUGGUGCAGUCAUCAAACCACCUGCGCGGAAGGAGACCGGUGAGUUAGAGUGUGCAAUUGUAGGUAUACAACCACCACAACUUGUGCAUGUUGAUAAUCCACCCGCACCUACAGCAGGAGGGGACACUGGUAUCGAUACUCACUUUUCUAUUGUUGCACUUUCUUUAGAUGAGAUAUCACUUGAUCGUAUUUUCUGUAGACCUUUUCGCACAGUGAAAAGUAUUCCUCGUCCUUGUCGAUUAGCAUUCUCCUGUGCAUUGAAGUCAGUCUUGUAUGAGGUUACUGCAGACCCCAUGCCGACAGGUCCAUGGGUUAGAUUGCUCCUGCUUCCCUAUUGCACAUUGCAAGUGUUCCAUCUGCAGAAUCGCCAAGAGCGUCGUUCUGGUGCUCGGAAAUAUCUCCAGCAGAAUCAGAUUUUGCGGGCUCUCUCUAUUUGGAACGAGCCUGGGGGUAUAUUUCGUCUGAUUGAGAGGGUCACAGACACAGAGCCUCCGUUGGAACGACCAUCUCGACAGUCCCAAAGCAAGAAUGUACGACGGUGUUUGCAAAAGGUUGCAGACGGGCACUUUGCAGCAGCCGUGAAGGUGUUGGCAUCAUCAGGGGUUGCUCCGAACACUCCAGAGACGCAGCGGGCUUUAGUGGAUAAACACCCGAAGCAUCCACCACCAUCUGUCCCCGACAUUCCUUUACUUGAGUCACCUUUGUCAGUUGAGAGGGAUGGGAUAUUAUCAUGCAUCAGGUCCUUCCCCAAAGGGACGUCUUCUGGGCGAGAUGGUCUCCGGGCCCAACACCUAUUGGAUGCUAUGAGUGGGCCUGCAUCAGCUGUAGCCACAGAUCUUAUGGAGGCCUUGACACCGGUUGUGAACUUUUGGCUACAAGGUCGAUGCCCACGGGUCUUGGCAGAGUUCAUAGCUAGUGCACCACUCACCCCACUUCUUAAGGCAGGUAACGGCAUUCGCCCAAUAGCUGUGGGUAUGGUUUGGCGUCGCCUGGUGUCUAAGAUUGCCAUGAGAGGAGUUUCUAAGGAUAUUGUCCCAUACCUAGAGGAUUUUCAGUUUGAGGUUGGUGUGCCUGGUGGAGCAGAGGCAAUUUUGCAUGUUGUUAAUCGGUUGGUUUAUGCCAACAAGGAUGACACAUCGCUUUCUAUGCUGCUUGUGGACUUUCAGAAUGCCUUCAACCUUGUUGAUCGGUCUGCUAUGCUACGGGAGGUACGCAAUCAUUGUCCAUCUAUUGCUCUAUGGGUCGAAUACCUCUAUUGUCAACCUGCUCGAUUGUAUCUAGGGUCUACUCAUAUUUGGUCAGCAGCUGGGAUACAGCAGGGGGACCCUUUGGGGCCUCUUCUCUUUGCUUUGGUCUUGCAUCCAUUGAUACACCGCAUUCAGUCAGAAUGCCACUUGGAGUUGCAGGCAUGGUACUUAGAUGAUGGUACUCUGAUUGGUAGUACAGAACAUGUGGCUAGAGCUAUUCGUAUCAUUCAGGAAAAGGGACCAUCUCUUGGGCUCGUGCUUAAUGUGUCUAAGACAGAGUUGUUCUGGCCUUCUGUUGAUCCUGACUGCUCCUAUCUAGAUAUCUUUCCGGUUGGUAUAUCAUGUCCUCAGCGAGGGGUUAAGUUGCUUGGAGGGGCUGUAAGUAUUGAUGCAUCAUUUAUUGUGGGUAAUGUUCGUCAACGAGUGGAUAAGACACUUCAACUUAUGGACUUAUUACCACAGCUAAAGGAUCCGCAAUGUGAGUUGGCACUUUUACGUUCUUGUAUGGGAUUAUGUAAACUCACCUUUGCUCUCCGUACUUGCCCCCCUGAUUAUGUUCAGGAAACAUCCGAAUGGUUUGAUCACAAGCUUUGUGCAGCCCUUCAAAAUAUUGUGGUUUCUGAUGGACCUGGUUUUAGCUAUCUACAGUGGCGUAUGGCAACCCUCCCAUUAUGUAUGGGUGGACUUGGUAUCUAUUGUGCUACUGAUGUUAUGAAGUUUGCUUUCGUAGCUUCACGUACGCAAACCAAGGAUCUCCAAGACCACAUUCUUCGAGGUUGUGACACUCCACCUAUGGGUAAUGUUUUCGAUACUGCCAUUGCUAGUUUACAUCUUUCUAUACCUGAUUUUGAUCUCAGUAAUCUUGCUCCAACUGCUACCGUCCCCUUCAGACCCCAACAUGUCUUAGCGGAAGCAUACUACAACAAGAUUAGUUCUGGUCUUGAGAGGGAAUUUGAGUUGUCAGCUAGACAAAAAGCCGUGAUUGGAUGUGUGCAGUCUGAACAUGCCAAAGAUUUUCUCCUUGCUAUCCCGAUGGAAGGGCUUGGACAACGCAUGACGCCUGUAGAAUAUCGUGCCAUUCUUCGUUAUCGAUCGAUGAUCCCUCUAUAUUCAGAUGGUGAGCUUUUUCCAGUGUGCAAGAAGAGUAGACUUGAUGCUUUCGGGGACUAUGCGGCCCAUUGUAAGCAUUACCCCGGCUUCAAGUACAGGCAUGACCACGUUAGAGAUAUCUUGUGUGAUGUGUUCUGGCGGGCUGGCGUACAGAUUAAGAAGGAGGCUCCUGUUAACUUUCUCACUGAUCCUAAGGAAGGAAGAUCGACAUUACGUCCUGUUGAUAUUCUGGUCUACAUUUGGUUUGAAGGUAAACAUGCGUGUGUUGAUGUUACAGGGGCGUCUCCGAUGGUUGGGUUGAGUGCUGGGAUUUUUGAGGUGGGGCUAGCAGCUAGCAAUGCAGCAGCGACAAAAGUGGAGAAACAUGACGGAGCUUGUAGGGCUAACCAACAUAGUUUCAUCCCCUUUGCAUUUGACACAUUUGGAUUGCUAGGCUCAGAAGUAGUUGAGCUCCUCAGGAGAGUGCAGAAGAUAAUGGAUAACAACGUGAUGACUGCAGGUUCGAACGAAUAUGUAUUUAGGAGAAUCGGGUUUGCUAUCUAGAAAGGACUUGCCGCGCAGUUUGUAGCGCGUUUGUCCUCUACUUUUGUGUAAUUCGUUGAGCUUAUCAAAUAUAUUUGUUUUAGUUAAGAAAAUAAAAAAUUAUUCUUUUUAACCUAAUUCUAAUUAACCGGGCAUCAAACACAUCACAACCAUGUAUCUCAAUCUACCGUUACUAUACACAAGAAAAUCAUACCAAAUUAUUUAACCCAUCAUAGCCAAAGAUCUCGAUCCAAUGUUACCAAACUCGAGAAAAUCUUAGCCACCACUUAACUCCAAAUUUCACCAUUUUAUAU
rnacentral:lncRNA from 1 species